UUUAUUUUUGUUUCUUGCUUUUUGCUUCUGUUUAGUAAUAAAUAAUCUGUUUAGUCUCUGGUUAGAUGUGUUUUUAUGUUUUUAAUUAGUGUUUGUGCCAAGUAGAACCGUUGGGAAGACAUGGGUAAAGUUUAUAUGAUCAUGCUGUAAAAAACAGAAACUUUAGCGCUCACGAGAAUAGCUGUCAUUUUUUAUAAGAGAGUGAUUUUUAGUUGAUUCUUUUUGCACGUGAUCACUAGGAAAAUUCCUCACUUCCACCAAUUUAUUUCAGAAUUUUUGGAGUUCCAGAAGUAUACGUUUGAUACAGAUUACUACAGACUGUUCUGUUUUUGACAGAUUCUGUUUUCUAUGUGUUGUUUGCUUAUUUUGAUGAAUCUAUGGGUAGUAUCGGAGGGUAUGAACCAUAGAGAAGUUGGAAUACAGUAGAUAUAACACCAAUAUAAAUAAAGAAUGAGUUCAUUACAGUACCUUAAAGUGGUGGUUUGCUUUCUUAUACUAACGGAGCUUACGAGUUUUCUGUUAAGUUUUGUGUUGUGAAGUUUUCAAGUUUUGGGUAAAGAUUCAAUGGACUAUGGAAUAAGGAGUGGCACGAGCCUAAGCUUGGGGAUGCCCAAGGCACCCCAAGGUAAUAUUCAAGGAUAACUAAGAGCCUAAGCUUGGGGAUGCCCCGGAUGACAUCCCCUCUUUCUUCUUCGUUCAUCGGUAACUUUACUUGGAGCUAUAUUUUUAUUCACUACAUGAUAUGUGUUUUGCUUGGAGCGUCAUUUCCUUUUAUUUUGUUUUGCUUGUUGUUUGAAUAAAAUAUCAAGAUCUGAAAUUAUUAAAUGGGAGAGUCUUCACAUAGUUACAUAAUUAUUCAACUACUCAUUGAUCUUCACUUAUAUCUUUUGGAGUAGUUUGUCAUUUACUCACGUGCUUCACUUAUAUCCUAUGAGUAAAUGGUUGAAUGAAUUGAAUAUCAUAAAUCUGAAUUUAUAUAUGUUUCAUAUGCUUAUACCAUGGGGAUUAAUGACUACACAUAUAAGAAGUAGAGGUGGUAAAUUUAUUGAAGGUUAGCAAAUAUAGCAUUGGUCACUUGAACAAUUCAUGAAAGAAUAUUGAAGGAAGAGAGGUUUCACAUAUAAAUAUACUAUCUUGGACAUCUUUUAUGAUUGUGAUCCCCAUUAAUUAUUUUACUUGAGCAAAUUAGUUGAAGUUGAACAAGGAAGACAACUUAAUGAGUUAUGGUUGGGUAUAUUUGUAUAGAAGUUAUAUUGUUAUAGAUCCUCCAACAUGUGGUGCUUGUUUUUUUAGAAUCCUUUGCUAGCCAAAAUAUCUGUACUAAGCGGGAAUACUGCUUGUGCAUACAAAUUCCUUGAACCAAGUUUCUUCCAUGAGUGUCCACCAUAUCUACCUAUAUGCGGUAUUUACCUGCCGUUCCAAGUAAAUUUGCAUGUGCCAAACUCUAAACCUUCAAAUAAUAAUCUGUUUUGUAUGCCUGAAUCGCUCAUGUAGCGACUAGGGGCUGUCAGUAUCUUCCAUGCUAGGUGGGUUAUUCUCACGAUGAGUGGACUCCGCUCAUCAUUCACGAGAAAAUGGCUGGUAACUGGGAUGACCAGUCCUAUGAUCAAAAGAUCAAAAACAAAAUUGCAAAUAAUUUAAACAAAAAUCCCCCAGGAAUGUUGAUAGUUGGACGACACCCGUUGUUUCGGACAAGCCAUGGAGUGUGAAUGUUGGUGGAGGGGGAGUAAAAAAAAACUUUACCUUUCUGCGUGGGAACCGCCUAUAAUGUAUGUAGCAUGGAAGAUAUUGGGAACUCUUGGUUGUUAUGUUGACAAUGAAAGCAUACCUCUCAAAAUUAUUUUCAUCUCUGUUUUUGCUUCGAGCUCUGGCCCCUCUGCAAAUCCCUGCUUCCCUCUGCGAAGGGCCUAUCUUUUACUUUUAUGCAAGAGUCAGUAGUAUUCCUUCUCUCCAACCUACUCUUUAGUUGGCAAGCAUCAUGUGGUGGAGAAAGAUCUAAGCAUAUAUGGCCAUUCAAAUAUAUUUGAUCAUGAAUUAUUAUUGUUGACAAUUAUCUAUAUGAUAAAUAAGUUGGGAGGCAAAACAUUAAGCCCCUAUCUUUCUCUGUGUUCGAUGGAUGCUAUUUGUUAUAAAAAUAUGCUUUGAGUGGUAGCAAUCAUGGAAGGCUAUAUGAUAGUUGAGUAUGUGAAGUUUGCUGAAUCAAAGCUCUGACAUAGACUCUUCCUGAAAAUAAGAUGAAUUGCAAUUGUUUGAUGACCGAGAACUUAGUUUGCUAGAAAGUUUAUGAUCUAUGCUUUAACAUGUGAAUAGUUUUCUACUUGAUCAUGAAAAGCUUUAUGAUAUGAGCCACUAUUAUGAUAUAUAAUGAUGCUAGAAAAGGUGAUUGAAAUUAUCAUUGAUCAAACUUGUGCACCUGCUAGCAUUCACACUUCAUAAAUUAUUUCUUUUAUCAUUUACCUAUUCGAGGACGAGCAGGAAUUAAGCUUGGGGAUGCUGAUACGUCUCCAACGUAUCUAUAAUUUAUGAAGUAUUCAUGCUAUAACAUUAUCCAUCUUGGAUGUUUAAUGGGCUUUAUUAUACACUUUUAUAUUAUUUUUGGGACUAACCUAUUAACCCAGAUCCCAGUGGCAGUUUCUGUUUUUCUCCUUGUUUCAGUGUUUCACAGAAACGGAAUAUCAAAUGGAGUCCAAACGGAAUGAAACCUUCGGGAGAGUUAUUUUUGGAACGGAAGCAAUCCAGGAGACUUGGAGUGCAUGUAAGGGAAGCAACGAGGAAGGCACGAGGUAGGGGGGCACGCCCACCCCCCGGGCGCGCCCUCCACCCUCGUGGGCCCCAUGUGGCUCCCCUGACCGACUUCUUUCGCCUAUAUAUCUCCAUAUACCCUAAAACCAUCGGGGAACAGAAUAGAUCGGGAGUUCCGCCGCCGCAAGCCUCUGUAGCCACCAAAAACCAAUCGGGACCCUGUUCCGGCACCCUGCCGGAGGGGGGAUCCCUCACCGGUGGCCAUCUUCAUCAUCCCGGCGCUCUCCAUGACAAGGAGGGAGUAGUUCACCCUCGGGGCUGAGGGUAUGUACCAGUAGCUAUGUGUUUGAUCUCUCUCUCUCUCUCUCGUGUUCUUGAUUCGACACGAUCUUGAUGUAUCGCGAGCUUUGCUAUUAUAGUUGUAUCUUAUGAUGUUUCUCCCCCUCUACUCUCUUGUAAUGGAUUGAGUUUUCCCUUUGAAGUUAUCUUAUCGGAUUGAGUCUUUAAGGAUUUGAGAACACUUGAUGUAUGUCUUGUCGUGCGUAUCUGUGGUGACAAUGGGAUAUCACGUGAUUCACUUGAUGUAUGUUUUGGUGAUCAACUUGCGGGUUCUGCCCAUGAACCUAUGCAUAGGGGUUGGCACACGUUUUCGUCUUGACUCUCCGGUAGAAACUUUGGGGCACUCUUUGAAGUACUUUGUGUUGGUUUGAAUAGAUGAAUCUGAGAUUGUAUGAUGCAUAUCGUAUAAUCAUGCCCACGGAUACUUGAGGUGACAUUGGAGUAUCUAGGUGACAUUAGGGUUUUGGUUGAUUUGUGCCUUAAGGUGUUAUUCUAGUAGGAACUCUUGAAUAGAUCGAUUCGAAAGAAUAACUUUGAGGUGGUUUCGUACCCUACCAUAAUCUCUUCGUUUGUUCUCCGCUAUUAGUGACUUUGGAGUGACUCUUUGUUGCAUGUUGAGGGAUAGUUAUAUGAUCCAAUUAUGUUAUUAUUGUUGAGAGAACUUGCACUAGUGAAAGUAUGAACCUUAGGCCUUGUUUCCUAGCAUUGCAAUACCGUUUACGCUCACUUUUAUCAUUAGUUACCUUGCUGUUUUUAUAAUUUCAGAUUACAAAAACCUUUAUCUACUAUCCAUAUUGCACUUGUAUCAUCAUCUCUUCGCCGAACUAGUGCACCUAUACAAUUUACCAUUGUAUUGGGUGUGUUGGGGACACAAGAGACUCUUUGUUAUUUGGUUGCAGGGUUGCUUGAGAGAGACCAUCUUCAUCCUACGCCUCCCACGGAUUGAUAAACCUUAGGUCAUCCACUUGAGGGAAAUUUGCUACUGUCCUACAAACCUCUACACUUGGAGGCCCAACAAUGUCUACAAGAAGAAGGUUGUGUAGUAGACAUCAAAUAACGACAUUUGUAAUCAUCUAAAUGACGGAGUUUAAAAUGAAGGAUUUGGGUAAACCAAAAUACCGCUCGUUACUACAACUUGAGCACCUUCAUUCAUACAUUAUGGUAUACUAUGUUGUCUAUAUCCAAAAUAUAUUGGAGAAAUUCAUUGUGGAAAAAUCUUAUCCAUCCAUAACUCUGAUGGUAGUUCAUUCUCUAGACGUAGAGAAAGAUCUAUUUAGACCAAGAGAUGAUGGAAAUGAGAUAUUGGGACUCAACGUUCCAUAAUGCCAUUGGAUAGACCAAACACAAUUGGUUGGUACUCAAGAAUAUCUUUUGAUAUCUCCAAGGCAUCAAACAUCUUGUCCUGAUUUUUCAGUUUCACAUAAAUGUGAACACCAAUAUCAUUGGAUACAUCGAUCAGAUCCCCACUAUGUCAGAUCGUAGACAAGCUUAGUGUUCCUACUAGGUGUGGUAGCCCUCUCAUGAAGAGUCUUCAAAACAGACCUCAUGGAUACAUCCACCAACCAUUAUCUCAAAGAUAAUGUUGCUUGUGUUGCCCGGAUGCAAACAUGUUACUAAUAAGCAUUAUCUUUAUAUUGCCUAUCUUGCAAGUCAAAUCAUGCAACUGAUUUGUUCACCAAGUUUCUACCAACUUUUACAUUCCAGAAACAUGUUCAUGGAAUUGGUAUGUGACGGCUUUGGAAUUUGCAAGAAUCAGGGGGAGUAUCUUCCUAAAUUGUUCAUGUUCAAUGCAUCAUAUUAUACUCUUUUUCCCUUCAUGAGUUUACUAUACAGAUUCUCAUAAAGGUUUUUAAUGAGGUAAUAUCAACAUGAGAUCAUAUGUCAUACUUUCUGUUUUCCCCACCGUUUUUUUGGGGAAAGUAUAUACAACAUAUUUAUUGUCCUCUAAAUUCUAUGAAUAUAUAUUUCAUAUUGAGUUAACAGAGGCAAUAAUCAUUAUGUGUUGUAUCAUUUUCUCCUUAUUUUCCCACUGGGUUUGAAGGAGUUUUAACAGCACAUACUACACUACUCCUCAUAUUUUUUCCACAGGGUUUUUGAAGGAGACUUAAUCAAGAUAAUGGAUUCUUAUGUCAAGCGGUGAUUAGGGGGAGUGUUGAAAAUAAUAACCCAGUGGUUAUUAAGGGAAAAUCCCCGCUUCCCAUAUCGGUAGUUGCCUCCCGAGGAGGCGCCUCAGUGAACCAUCGCGUCCCAUGGACGCGUCCGUUCCCCUUGUAUAUAAGUGUACAUCCAUGAUUAAUAAAGGACACUGGAAUCAUUUGUUGUCGCUCUCGAUUCUCUCUCGAUUACUCUUCGAACACCAAAAAGGCCACUGUCCACGACGGUUCCCGUGGAGACGCCUCUAGCGAACCAUCGCGUCCAUUGUGAUUGUAUAUAUAUCAUGUCAAUCAUCAACAGAGACCACUGAUUCGAUCAUUUGUUCAAUACUCUUGUUCCUUUACAAUUGAUUCUUAACACGUUAUCAGCACGUUGCUCUCCGUUGAGAGAAAUAGGCCAUGCCUGAUACAGCAACUCCGGCGGUCCUCGACCUCGCCCCAUCGAUGCCCGCGCUACCGAACUUGCGUCCUACCCGCUGGCUCACGGCAUGGUGUGUUGCCCGGCCUAGGCGGUCGACCAGCGGCAACGCCCUCUGGCACACCCCUGCGUGGCACGGCUCCCUUGCCUGCCCAUGGCGGCAGCACCCUUCAUUACGGCACCUGCCGGCAGCCUCGGCUGUAACGGCGUGGCGACGCCCACAACGGUUUUCGCCUCCGGCCCCGGCGCGUCAAGCCAUCGUCAGCAUCAACGAGGCUGCGCAGAGGUGCGGACGCGCUACUGAAGGCCCGGCCAUCGAGACGCGAUGACUGGCGUGCGCCACGGCGCGGCUACGCGGUGGCGUCAACCCGCCCAUCCGACGGUCGGCCCCUACGCCUCCACCGGUGUCUUCGUCUCCGUCGGCAACUGCCACGACCACUCAAGGCGCCCGGGGCCUCACAGCCGGCAUCGCCCGGCAUGCCUCGAGCCACAUCUACGGCGGUGGCUCGUCCUGUCCAUGCGCGUCAGCAAAGCAAAGGCAAGGCUGGCGGCGCAACCACCUGGAGCGGUGGCAGCCCGCGAGGCGGCGGCAAUGGCGCAGUCUUCCCGGCCGUCGUAGCGGGUCCCCUUCCCCGGAGAGGCCCCUACCAUGCGCGGCGCUCGCGCUCGCGGUACACAACGGUGUGGCGAGCUCCUCUAGCGUUGCGGCAGUCGAUGCCCGACGUUGCCGUGCCAUCCCAGACGGCCAUGCACAGGCGCUCACUGCCGCCUCGUGGCCCUCGCCGUUCCGCUGGUGAGCCCGUUGUUGAGCAGCCGCUCCGCGCAGCAGCAGCGCUCGGGCUCGCGGAUGGCGCCUACAACGGCGUGACCUUGGCACCCACCUCCGCGGUGGCUCCUCUUCCAAGGACGAGCGCGGCGGGAGAUCUUCUUGCCGCCGGUGAUGCGGCCGGCCGGCCGUCUCCGGCUGUCUCACUGUGGAUUUGGGAUAGAAAGUGGCUGGGAGAAUUUUCCUCGGACGGCGAUAACUACCACACGUGUGGGUGUUAAGAGGUCUGCCCACACGUUUUGUGUGGUGUCUAAGAAGACCAGCCCACACGCCUAUGUGUGGGCAAAACAACUAGCGCCCACCCGCCUCUUUUUUUCCUUGCGGUCCCUCUCACACGCCUACGUGUGGGCAAAAUGCAUAACGCCCACAUAACCUCUCUCAGCCACCCACCUCACGGUCCCGCACGCCCCGCGUGACAGUCACCAUGCGUCACUGCAGUUGCCAUGGUCCGGACCCUCUUCAAUGUCCGUUUAACUGCAGUUGCCAUGUCGCUGAACUACAGUUGCCAUGUCGGACAACUACGGUUGCCAUGGUUGCUCAACUGGAGUUGCCAUCUCAGGUCAAGUGCCAGAUGCCAUUUUGGACAACUACUGCUGUUGCCAUGUAUGGUCUGAUUUACUAUAGUUGCCAUGAUUUGAAAACUUUAGAGGCUGCCAUCUACUAACACUAAGCAGUUGCCAUGUAUGGUCUGGUUUACUACAGUUGCCAUGAUUUGAAAACCUUAGGAGUUGCCACCUACUAGCACUAGGCAGUUGUUGUGUAGCGCUACAAAAAGACAUGGCAAAACAACAUGUUCGGAUAAAAGAGAGAGUUGUCAUAUGUUUACAAGCACACUAGGUCAGUUGCCGUGUACCCUGCAAAACACAUGGCAACUGACAUGCUCGGGUAAAAAAAAAGAGAGUUGCCAUAUUUUUACAAGCACACUAGGGCAGUUGCCAUGUACACUGCAAAACACAUGGCAACUGGCAGCUUGGGUGUGGAAGAGGAGACGGGCAUGUGGGCGAGAUGACAAAUGCGCACACACCAGCCCCUGUGCGUGAGUGAAAACUGGCGUGUGGGCGAACUGAUAAACGCCCACACACUGGCCCCUCCGUGUGGUGAAACGGAUGUGUGGGCGACCGGGUGAAUGCCCACACACCAGUCCAGUCCUACAUGGCACCACAAACAUGCCAAGAUUCGUGCACCCAUAAACGGACGCGGAUCCACGCGUGUGGCGAGAUGCAAAUGCCCACACAUGUGGGCGUUAGUGUUUCCAUUUUUCUGGUCGCUCUGCCUUAUCUGCUCAGCUAGACCAGGCUGGGCUGCCUUGCGUGGCUAAUUUGCAUGCCGCUGGAAAUUUAGGCGACCAGCAACCAUUGCUAUCUUUGCUUAUUUGCCCCUUUAAUUUAGCAUAUUAGCAGAUAAGCCACCUAGCAGUAGUUCUAGCAGUGAUUUCAUUCCUGUUUUUUAGACACUGCUAAUUACAGUACUAAAAUUUCAGUACUGUAAAUAUGUUGAGUACUAUGUGUUCCAUAUAAUAUGUUGAUGUAAUAUAUCUCCAUGUUUCUUACAUGUUGAGAAUAAUUACAUCUAAUAUUUGCAAUUGAGAUAUUUCUUUUAUCUCUUGCAAAGAUAAAUUCAGUACCUCUUGAGUAUUGAUUUGCGAUUGAGAAUUUUCUUCUCUCGCAAAGCAAUCUCAUAGUGAUUGAGAUUAAUUUUCUCUCGCAAAAUAUUAAUUCACCCUGUUGAAUUAUCUUGCAACUUGAUACAAGAUCACCUAAUUUAAUUUGAGGUCCAUACAAUUCAAGUUUUUCACUUGAACAUCAAGUUUGCAACAUCAUUACUAUUUAUUAUAAUAGUGGCGUAUUUCUGUUGAGUAUGAUGUAUUCCAGAAUGUAUGUAUCUCCAUGUUCGCUACAUGUCGAGAUCAAUAUGUCUAUUUGCAAUUAAGAUUUUUUUUCUUGCAAAUAAGAAUGCAAAAUUCAAAGUGAUUUCUUCAAAUUGAUGUAUUGGGAUCACAAAGUAGUCAUAUAGAUCUACUGCCUUCGCACAUUAUCAAUGACUACUAUUAAAGCCCAUAUUUUGUCAUUUUGACAUUAAAAUUGCUUUACAAAGUGCCAUCCCACACAUUUUACUAAGUCAUGGCAUAAGGCAUUACGAAUGAGUAUCUACUGAUUUCAUCAGAUUAUACUCUCUAGUGCUGUGUGGAGAUUAUCUUCAAGGUGUCAUUUAGCAAUUGAUUUUGCUAGUUCAUUACAACAACAACAACCAUAAUGGUUUUUAAUUUAUUGGUUGUAAACUAAUUAUCUCUGGUUUACCCAUAGAGGUGAAAUAUGGCCAUAGAGUUUGAGGCAUUCGCCCUUAAUGUACUAACAGAACAAAGUUAACGUGUCUAGGUCGACGGUCAAUGACUGACUUCACAAAUCCGUCGGCCUUAAUCGGAAAUGAUACACAAAAGGGAACCGCUAGGAAUCAGACUACUGAUUCUUAGCUUCCCAUCAGACUAGUGUUCCACCGUAUGAUUGGAUUCAUCUGGAACGUGCAAUGGGCCAGAAAAAGGUGCCUAUUUUGUUUCCAUGCAACGACCUAUGAAUGGCAAUUUAUUUGGUAAUAAACCAUUCUCGUAAAUAUCUUUAGGCCUAACUUCUAGCGUCGUGCAAUUUGCUUCCAUCCAGGAUGUUUGUUUCCAAUUGGGUGAAUUUAUUCCCAGCGCAAAUUAAUCAUGCUUCCUACGAAGAAAAUUUGCUUCCAUACCAAGAAGUUUGUUUCCAAUUUGGUGAAUUUAUUCCCAGCGCAAAUUAAUCAUGCUUCCUACGAAGAAUAUUUGUUACCAUGUCAUAACGAGAUUGCUUCCAGCUCAAGAUUAUUUUGAUUAGUAUUUUUGUUUUCCAACAUGGAAAAACGUGCUUUGAACGGUCAAGCCGUGUUUUCGUUUAACAUGGAAUUAUGCUUCCAAUGUUUUCCCCUUCUAUCAACAAUGCUUGAAAGAGAGAAUAUAAUUUGCUUCCAAAAAAAAUAUUUUUCUUCGAAAGAAAUAUAUUUUGCUUCCAAACAAAUGGAGAUAAUUGUUGAAGCAGGAAUAUAUGUUGCUUCCAAUUAAUGCAUCUUAUGUCUAUUGUGAGCCAUCAGAACAUAGUUGCUAAUUGUUGAAGUAUGUACAAAAUAGUAUCGAAGCAUUGCCAUGGGCAUGUAUGUACUUGGAAACAUAUUGUACAUACAUAGGAUACAUGUCGCAUAUGAUAUCGAAGCACGUAUGUAGUCUAAACCAAAUGAAGCAUAUAUAUAUAUAUAUAUAUAUAUAUAUAUAUAUAUAUAUAUAUAUAUAUACAUUUUUUAGAUAAACUAGUAAACUCAAUACAUAGAACCCUGAAGCACUGCAUCCAUGACAACAACAAACAACAUUCAAAAGAUUAGCCCAGCCUUUCUCUCGAGCGGGAUCCUUCCAAGCAGGUUUAAGAGGCCAUCUUUUAAGUGAGAGCCGCAUAACGACUGUUCAAUGUCCACCAUGCUUUGGGCUGCUUCAUUAUCCCAGGUCCACUGAAAAAUAAUCAGAAAUAUAAUCUGGGAAUUGAGCGAAUAAUCAGAAAUAUAAACAUUAUCGAGAAAGCACGGCUCAACAUUCAUUUUCCAAAGAUGUACAGAAGCAAAUCACCUACAACAAAUUCAAAGUUGUACUGCAAAUUAAAUAAUUAAGUAGCAGCAAACAAGGUAGCUUGGAUCAGCAACCAUAGAAGCAAAUUAAGAGUAACACAGGAAGCUCCAAUUACAAGAUGCAUGACAAUAAGCUAUUUAUAGGUGACAUAGAACGUGUGUUAUGUACAGGAGCUCCAGUGGAAGCACAAAACAACAAAAAUUUAAGCAAACUAAUAUUGUGGGUAACAAAGGAUGGAAAUUAUGUGUGGCGAACAUACAAAUGGAUCAAAAUUUUAUAACCUAUGGAAGCGAAAUUAAUAGAGUUCAGAAGCAUAUGUAUUGCAAUUUAGAUGCGACACAACAAAGAAACAUGAACAUGGUACUUUGGGAAUCAAACUAGUCUUAGAUGGAAACAUGGAAAUUUGAAAUUGUACAGAAAACUGGUAUUAUUGUGAUAUGCGUACCUACUUAACCAAAAUCCAUAGAUUAUAUGGUGAUCAAAUACACAUUGGGUACUAAACCAAGAUAUGAACAGAAGUAACCCAGAUCAACUCAAAUGCUUCAGAUUAAAUUUGUAUCAACAUAAGAGAACUGAAAACAUUAAGUCGGGUGAGUAUGUACUAGGGGCAAUUCGUCAAUGUGCCUAUUACCUGCGAGUGAAGAGCACAUGGCCGCCUUACCUCACCGACGGCGGUGCUGUACAUGGAUCAUGGUUGAUGGAGAAGGUGAUAUGUCGUUUAGGAUCCUGGAGGUGGAGUGGUGGAGAAUGUUAGGGAGUCGUGGUCUCAAGCAGAGCAUGGAACAUCGAUCUGUAGCAAUUUGGGAGGAAACAAACCAAACUGGGGGAGGAAGGUGCGGGAUUAUGGGAAGAUAAUGUGCGUGCUUAAUUUAUGCGGAUAAAUGGGUGGUUGGUAUGGGAUAUGUUGGAGCCUCUCAGCCAUGGGAUUGGAAAUAAAUCAACGGACAAGCACUAGACUGAUGAUUUGUUAGUAUCCAGACGUCUGGAUCUAAGAGUUUCCCUACACAAAACAGGCAUCAUGAUGUGGGGGCAACCGAACAUCAACAAAGGCUAAUAAGGUCCAUAACUCCAUAGACACAUUAAAGUAUUCAAAUGUUUUAAAGCAUCGUCCAUGAUAUGAUAACAGAUGGUGGUAGAGUCUGUGAACAUGUCAGCACAUCAGCGGCAUGCUAGAGCAUACACUUUGUUGACAUUCCAGGUCAUCAACCAUGAUAUUCCACCAGCUCGCCAGGUGCACGAGAUGAAAAAAUGGCUUCAUGUGGUGAUGUUUGCCAUGGUUGAGGACAGCCGUCAAAGUCAUUCAUCAACAGUCACCUUGGAGCGAAGGGGUUGUGCAAGCUGCACUGGCCUUGGAGGCAUCAAAGGGGGCACCAUCGUCAGCUUGCACAUUUCACUUGAUGGCACUGAGGAAUACAUAAGUUAUAUUAAUAUAUAAAAACUAAAAUCAUGUUAUUUAUUUAAUGCACGGAGUGGUUUCAUCAAGAGAAGAACACAGAACAAAUGGAAAUGAUUCCACAUGCUGGAAAAAUUGUUGUAAACAUUUUCACUUCAAUCUUUUUGUUCUGCGCCGAUCAUCCAACAGCAAAUUUAUCGUAAUAUUGCAUAUGAAUUCUGAAACUCAAGCACAACAAAACUUACUGUCACAUCAUCAACUAGUUAAUUUAAGUAAACAAGCUAGGCUCCCAAAAGUCACCUGUUAUUAAUACAAAAUACAAGGGGGAAGAAACUUUCACCACAAACAGUGAAUACUCAAAAGUUCCAUAUGUCACACAAAUCGAGUCACUCACCCAAGGAAACCAAGAUUCCUAUCAUCACCUCCCAUAUAAUUAUCUUCAUGAGUAGAAUUUUAAAAUCAUCAGCUAGUAAGCCUACUCACUGACCACAACUAGGUUUGCACUCAACUUUACUGCACUGGCUAAUUUGCAGUUGCAAGGUUGUAUUCUCCAAUUCAAGAUAAAAUUUUCCCUUUUGGGAGAAAGGCCGACAUAAACUUUGAUUAGUUCUGCUUAUAAGUUGAAUGAAACUUUGCAAGUCCUAAAAGAUGUUUCUUAGCUCACGCAACGGUUUCACUUACUUAUUUGGCACAUUAAUGCCCAGUUCUUUUGGCAGCUUCUGAAAUGAGCUGGCCCCUCACCAGCUUAUUUUAGAAGCCGCCCCCAAUAUUCAUUGAAGCUGCUAAUCUGAUUAAUCCUUAACUCAAAAUGAAUAUGGGGAACGGUUUCUAAAUAAGCUAGGAAGGGGGCGCCUUAUGCCAUAAGCCGCUAAAGGAACUGAGCCUCAGUACAGGAUGCAGUUUGCUACAAAUAGUAUCCCUAUUGAUAAUGUUGCAAGUUGUCAACAGGAGAGCAACUUGUGGUCUCUGAAUUACAAAUAAUGAUUAAUUAAUUAUCCAGUUCAGUUCCGUUAAAUAUAAAACCUCACAAAGAGAUGCAAGAACAUAAAUUCAACGGAUAUUUGCUUCCUAACUACAGUUGUCAUAUACUGCAAGAAAGGCAACAUGGUGGCCCAAGUCGCACAUUAUUCUGGAAUCAUGAUAUCAAAUGUUAAUGUUCAAAAUUUCUAACAUUUUAGAGUUAAAUAUCGCGAGUCAAGAACUACGAUAAAAGAACAGCACCAUAUUAUAAGCAUGGGAUCCAUAUAAGCAUUGAUAAUGUCUUUACCUAAUUGAGUUGAAGUUGAAGACGACGUGUGCUGCCCAGUUUGUGUCAGACUGGGUAGCUGCUGAUAGUCGUCUUGGUGUUCGCCAAAACCAUAUUCAUUAGAAGUCCUAAUGGGAACACCCCCCAUUCCACUUGUAUUGCUGGGGUUGCUGUACAAGGGUUCACCUAAAUCUUAUUUAACAGAUGGCAAAAUGGACGCGUUUAUAGUUGUAGCAAGAUGAUUACAGUGUGCCUACCACAUUGUUUUGGAACAGUAUCCCCCAAUGGAAGUUGAUCAUUAGGCACACCAUUCUGUGCAGACUCUGCUGCAACUUCCUCAUUCUGAGCAGACUCUGCUGCAACUUGCUCAUCAUAUAGCCUUAAGCAAAUUAAGAGGCAAAAUGUCAGGUGUCAUUUGGUAAAAUAAGUGAAGAACUGGGGGAAACAUACAAUUAGUUUGGCAAAUGUUUUUCAGUAUGUAUGAAUGUUAAGAAAAUAGAGAACAAUGCAAAACAAAAAACAUGCCUUUGAAUUGGAGCGGUAUUCAGAUAUUUGGAGAAUUCACAGGAAAUGAAGGUCGGAUUGUAAUAAUCGACUCUCGAGGCAUGGUAUGGCUUGAUGACUUCCAGCGACUUCUUCAAAAGAUCUACACCAAGCAUCCAUGUGACUUGGUCGACACCCACCUUAGACAUGAGGACAAUAGCACGACCAUAAAUGGUGAAGGUCGGGAAGCCUGGUGUAGUCUUCAGGUUUCUCACUCUGCAUUUCUCAGUUCUACUAUCCCACAGGUGAAGUAGCUGCAGAGCAAGUUGUGGUUCGGCUGAUAUGUCAUCAACAUGGAAAUUGUACCCUUUUCUCCAAUGGUUCCAAGAAAUGCUCCUAAAGCCUGUUCGGAUCUUCCAGCCAUCAGGUGCACACUUAAUUUUAUCCUCCAUAAUGUCCUCUUCAUGAUACCUAAGGAGGUCAUUAUCACUGAUGGUAUCUAGGAAAUCAAGAUAGGCCGUCGUCUUGAAACUCCUCAUGUUGAUAAACUUAGACCAUUUGAAACAAUGUUCGAUCUCGAUGAAGUCGAUGAAACCAUUGGGGAAGCCGGUGACGUCCCGCACUGACCGCGCGUCAUAAUCGGCCAAUGCUUGGCUUUCCGGGGGCUCGUCAUAAUCAGCCUUGGGCAGCGGCCUGGGCAGCGGGAUGAAGCGGAGAACAGGAUCCUUCUGAAGCACAUCACAGACAACAAUGCCGCGCCAGAGGUCGACCCAUCCCACUGUUCCUUCUCCAAGAGAGAUCACCUUGUGAGUUAGCUUUGGCAGGAUACCGGGAUGCUCCUUCAGCUGCACAUGUUGGGUGCUCCACUCGUCUGUCACCGACGAGAAGAUAUGCAGGUUGUAGUGCCCAAGGUCCCGACCCAGGGAAAGAUCGGCGACCAAAAAACUGCCAUCCUCGCGGGAUACGAUGGCUGCAUGCCAUGAGUGCCUGUAGGUUGGAGGAGGACACGGGACCGAUCUGAUGGUGGGCUUGCUGGAGGCAGCCCUGUAGACGAAGUAGUCGUAGGUGCUCGAUGUGCCAGUUCUGAAGGGAAAGCAUAGGAGCGCGAGGUCAUUGGCGGAGGAAAUGACGCGGGGCUCCGUGAUGCAACACUCUAGUACGUUGAUUCCGGGAAAGUGGACGCAGAAGUAGGAGACGGCAGGCGGCCGGGCGAGACAAAAGGUGACCUCGAAGUUGUGGCCCGUGCUCGUCGUGGCCUUCACGGUGGUGGCGUUGAUGGGGUGGGCGAAGUAGGCUCUGCUGUCGAGGAGGACCCAGGAGGGGUAGCGGGAUGGGUUGGCGCUGGCGGGAUCGACUGCAGGGGGGUGGAAGGAGGCGGGAUCGACGGCGGGGGAGUCGACGGAGGCGGGAUCGACGGCGGGGGAGUCGACGGAGGCGGGAUCGACGUCGGGGAGGUCGACGGAGGGGGGAUCGACGGAGGGGGCCGUGAAGGAUUCCUCCAUGGCCGCGGAUCCAACAAGGAUUUGGGAACUAGGGUUACCUCUCAGCAAAGGGGGCGGCGGCGAGUGUUUGGGAACCAGGGUUACCUCUCAAUAGAGAGGGGACGGCAAGCGAUUUUUCACUUUCGUAGGGACAGCGGCGUGCGGGCAGAGUCUUCCGUCUUGCGUCUUCCCGGGCCUGGGCCUGGGCCGUGGCAGCCAGACUAUCCACGUUCACGUUAUUUUUUUUCUUCAACUUUUUUUUACGGGGACGAUCUUCCACUUCUAGUACCACUAGUAAGCUGACGUCUUGACUAACAUUACAAACAUAUGUGAGAAUUAACAACCCCUCGAAGAAAAUGUGAGAAUUAACAUACAAAGAAAGAUAUUUUGAUUGAACUAAUAAUACAAGUACAUUACUGUUGAUUUUCCUCAAAAACUUGGACACUUACAGUUUUUCGUCAAAACCAAAAAAUGGGCUGAAAAUGUUAUUUGACGGUAUGUUUAUUUAUGUUUGGCAAAAAUGUAUGAAACUUCCCUGGUAUGAUAAGUAUACUAGUGUUGAUUUUAUAAUAUAUAUACACAGGUUGACACCCGGCGGCUCACGGAGUCCUGGCCAGCUCAUACACAACAUGUCCGGCUCGGUGACUAGCUACGCUUACCUUACAAAACAAGUCAUACAUAUAUAGCGGUUCAUCCCCUUGAGCCUCAAGUCGCCUCUGGGUCUUGGGCCGUCAACGGGCCUGCAUGAUCCGCCAUCUUCAUUGAUAAGUUGCCAGUGGUAUGGCCCGGCCCCUCCUGGGCAGUUCAUACCCAAUAGUUAUAUCCCCAACAUUAGGCCCCAGGUUGAUUUGAACUUGUUCAUAUCAAUCUUCAAUACCUGACUUGUCAAAAUCUUGCAUCGCCUUUGUUUGAUAAACCUUGCUAUAAACCGCCAUGACGUCAGCUCGCAGAACUUUCUUAAACCAUCAUGACGUCAUUCUACAUUAAUUUCACACGAGGCUUAGAACAUCUUUAACCGAUCCUUAUCUUAAUGAGCAUCCCGAAAACCGAGGCGUCCAUAUAGCCAUAUGAUGAUUUUAGCCUCCUCGAUUCCCGCGCAUGCCUUGUAUCCACCCCCUUAUAAAUAGGGGCAGUGGGUCUUUAUCAUUUUCCCCCUCGUUUCCUCCUUCGUCUUCCUCCUUCAUACGGCCGCACCAGUGCUCGAGCUCUGCCGCCACGACCUCCAACCGCCACAUCAACGCAGGCCGCCGUAUCAACCUGAUCGGACCAGAGAACUCCGGCGAGCCACUGCUACUCCUCAUCACCCGUAAUCGCACCUCCCCCCUUUAUCUCAGAUCUGUAUUAGGGUUCAGGCCGUUCGUCGGUGUUCUUGCCGUUCUUGCGUUGUUUCCGUCAACUCCGAUAGCUUUCAAUCUGGAUAGGCCAUAGGUCUUGUGCGGAAGUGGUUUGAACAUCAUUUCCAUCAUUAAAACAACAUCUCUCCAUAGAAGAUCUCAUCAGAGUAUCCAAACUUUUCCACUGCCGCCACCUUAGGCUAGAAUUUUACUGCUUUUCUGAACUGUGGUAGAUCCAAAACUAUUGCUCCAGUUUGCGAAGUCUGUUUAUCCAAUCACUUAGCAAAAUCUGAAGUACCAUAACUGUCACGGUGACUUAUACUGUAAACCGUGAUCCGCCAUACGCCUCAUAACUUUCAUGACCCAACACUGCUUCUCUGGUUUAACCAUGCUUUCCUCCUGAUAACUUGAUUUUGCAAAAUAUAUCUUGACUUUUAGGCUCUGUCCGGUUUAACAACAGAAUCCUUAAUCCGGUAGGUACCAUUAGUCCCCAUUUAAGCUGCCAAUACUUCAAUGUUCAUCCCCCGGCUUAAUCUAUUAACUGUUCAUAGCAUUUUAUCUUUGAAUCAAUGGUCCGGUUUAAUAGCAUGACCUUAAGCCGGUAAUGUUUCCUUCGUUUAGGACUUUGCUCUUCAAGAUGGUCAAGACUGUCAUUGCCUGCAACUGGGUCGUUUCCCGGGUUACAGAGGAAGACCUAAAAGAAUAUGUCCAGACUGGCGUCUUAGCCAAGAAAGAAGUCAUCCAUUGGAGGGUCCCAGGCAAUGAGACUCGUCCUGAGCCCAAGGACGGCGAAGUCAUUGUUUUUACUGAUCAUGUAAACCUGAGCUUCAGCCCUCCUGGUUCAAAAUUCUUCCGCGAUGUGCUGCAUUUCUUCAAACUUCAUCCACAAGAUAUCGGCCCAAACACCGUCUCAAACAUCUCCAACUUUCAAGUGUUCUGCGAGGUGUACCUUCAACAGGAGCCCACCGUAGAACUAUUCAGGGAGUUCUACUACUCGAACCGGCAGAAUGAAUUCAUCAACGGGCCUAGCCUCGAACUAGGCGGCAUAUCCAUACAACACCGGAAAGAGGCCACCUUCCUAGCUGCUACUCUUCCCAGUCGCCCCAAAGACUGGAACCAGACUUGGUUUUGUUGCCAAGAUACUUCGCCAGAAGGAGAAAAUCCCUUACCGGGUUACCGUGCCAGCCGGCUUAGCAGCAGACAUCAUCUUUCGGAUCAUAUCAGUACAACAGAACGGAAGAAAUAUGUGUCGGUUUAUGCAAAGAUCCGGGCCUUUAUGGCCAACGGCCUAACCGAAAUUGAUCUAGUUCAACGCUGGGUCACCUGGAGAGUCUUGCCUCUAAGCCGCCGACCCGGUUUAAUGUGUGAGUACACCGGCGAGCUAACAGAUCCUUAGCACCAUUGUCAGGUCGAAAUAACUGAGGAAGACAUCAAUAACAUGACCAAGACUCUAUUGAAUGAGAGCUUGGAAGAUUGCAGUCAAUUCGAACUGAGUCCUUUCUGUACCCUGAAUAAGCCGCCAACUGUAAGUUUUGAAUCAAGCUCUUACUUAACUCAUAUCUUGAUUUAUAUUGUUUGCUCAUACUCACUGAAACGUUUACAAGCCGAUUCACCCUUUUGGACCAAGAAGCUUCAGGAGAAACCAAAGAAAACCGAGGCGAAGAGCAAGGCUAAGAAGCCUGCUAAGAAGAAAACCAACACCGUCGAGUUAUUUAACUUGGACGACAAAGAUGAUGAUGAUGAGUCGGAGGUAGAACUUGAUUCCCUUGGUUUGCUUUUUGUACAUCUUAUUGACAAUGACCAUUAUCAGGAUGAUGCGGAAGCCAGCCGUGCAGAUGAUGACGAGGUAACUAUCCUUUCCUCCGGCUCAGAACCUCUGCCAACACAGAAAACUCGACAAGCAAGCCGGAAAGUAAGAUUUUCUCACCCUUUAGCUUACUUGGAUCCCAACUUUCUUUUGAAGAAGCAGCAACAUGAAGCUCGCCGCACAACUCGGCAUAGCGGCGGUGGAAUCUUGUCCUCCGGCUUACCAAACACCCCAGCACCUCGCAAACGUCGACUGGAGGUUUCAAAAAUUUCUGACUUAGAUUAUCCCAAGGCAGGUCUUUUUCGUCAACCUCUUAAUCCAUCUGAUUCAAAUUAUCAGGGAACAUCUCAUUCCUCCUCCGGCGACUCAAUGGGAACUCAAAUCCCAGCCUUCAAGACUGUGCCUGGGUAGGAAUAUAUUUAACCAUUCAAAACUUCAUGCCUGAUUGAUAUGCUAACAUCUUUGUGUUUUAUUUUCCAGUGGUAUGGCCAAGCCCAGCAAAAAGGAAAAACUGAACAAGCCGGCUGAUGACUCUAACCCUUCUGAGCCGGAAAAACAACAACCAGAAGCCUCUCAUCCAAUUGCUGAGGCCACCAUUAAUGACCCGCCACCAGAAGACCAUGAAGUCUCCAUAGACCAUAUGGAUGUUGAGCCGGCCAUUUCUAAGCCGCCAAGCCCAGUUAAGCUCGCUGAAGAGAAGACUGACGACGUCGUCGUCACCGGGUUUGGUUACACAGCACCGGGUAACCCCACUGUCUUAUCCAAGCACAGCGCCAAGGAAGAAAUUUCUGCUGAUGAUAAAGGCAAGUGGAAGGUAGACUUAGAGAGCUACGCCCAGUUCAGUACCCAAGAGAUCCACUCUGGUUAUUUGAACCGUCUAUACACCAGCCGUGAUUUUGAAGCCGGCUUAGUCAAUUUGAUGAAGGAACGCUAUGAGGUAAUCCAAUCACUAUUUCUCUUCAUAAUUAUAUGUCUAUCUGCCGCCAAGUCUAUAGGAUAUGAUAGGAUUGACUAUGCUGUAGACUUUCCAAUUGCCAUAAAGAAUUGAACAUCAUCACUAGUAGCCCCCAAGGGCCGGCUUAAACCAUCAAAUUAAGCCGGGACUUUAAGUAGCAGUAAUGAACGGCGCAUCCGUAACCCCCAAGGGUCGAUUUAACUAACAUAGUUAAACCGGGACUUACCAACAUUGAUAAAUCAACACUUCAAUAUGUAACCUUGGUAAACCGGAUCAUAUCAUUGCACCCGAUUCAUCGGAUAAAUUCAUCUUUGAAAAGAGCAAUAGGCAUUAGCCCCCAAGUGCCAAGGAAAAUAGUUGUAUUGUGCUUGGGACUUCGAAAAGUUAUGAAGAGCAAUAGACAUUAGCCCCCAAGUGCCAAGGAAAAUACUUGAAUUAUGCUUGGGACUUCAAAAAUAAUCAUGAUCAUAAUACCUUCCAUGCCUUCUUAUGUCACAGGCUGAACUGAUUGAGAAGGAUUUGCAACUCAAUGAUCUAAAGGCCAACAUUAAAACUCAGCAAUCUGAGACAUCCAAGACCAAGUCGGAACUGAAGACUGCUUUAGAAACAUUGAACAGCUUAAGCAAAACUUCAAUAGUGAUAAAAACGGCUGGGAGAUCGAAAAGGCGGCUCUAUUGAAGAGAGCAGAGGAUGCUGAAGCCGCACUUAAACCGGUGACUGACGAGUUGUCCGGCUUAAGGCAGCAGAUCAAUAACAUGUUGUCAGCCAUCUUUGGUAAGUAGGAAACAUGACUCCUUUGCAUCUCAAUAAACAUAUUAUAAACAUCUGUCGGCUUAUCAAUAAAUUUAUUGAUACAGGUUCUCAGAGCGCCAAGUUGGGCUUAGAUAUGCGCAUCAGGCUUAAAGCUGUGUACACUCUUGUAGAACAGUUAUAUACUGGCACCCAACGUACCAUUGCUGCUGCUAUGCACAAGAAAUCUCCACCCACUCUCAUUAAAGAUACAUUGGAGAGGUUAUCAGUGCUGCCCCAAAGGAUUGAUGAGUUAAAGCGAGCAUCUGCCAGAGCCGGCGUGUUGACUGCUUUAAGCCGGGCAAAGGCGUGGCAAGCAGAUCUGGAUCCAGAAGAUUUGGCCAAUGGUUGCACAAGUGUCAAAGAGGACGGAUCUGCCUUCAGUGUUGAUGACUUUGCAGAAAUAGCAAGAGCAGUGCGCCCAUUAGCAAGUAAGUUGGCUGAAGAAACCAAUCUAUCCACAUACCAGGCGGCUUAUGAUGCUGAGAACAAGAAAGUGAAGGCGCCGGUUCAUCAGGAGACGGAUCUCAUCCCGCCGAUUCGUAAGCAUACCUUCGCUCCUGAUACGUCUCCAUCGUAUUUACUUUUCCAAACACUUUUUCCCUUGUUUUGGACUCUAACUUGUAUGAUUUGAAUGGAACUAACCCGAACUGACGCUGUUUUCAGCAGAAUUGCCAUGGUGUUAUUUUUGUGCAGAAAUAACAGUUCUCGGAAUGACCUGAAACUUCACGGAGAAUAUUUUUGGAAUUUAUAAAAAAUACUGGUGAAAGAAUCAAGACCAGGGGGCCCACACCUUGUCCACGAGGGUGGGGGCGCGCCCCCUGCCUUGUGGGCCCCCUGGUGCUCCACCGACCUCAACUCCAACUCUAUAUAUUCACGUUCGGGGAGAAAAAAAUCAGAGAGAAGGAUUCAUCACGUUUUACGAUACGGAGCCGCCGCCAAGCCCUAAUCUCUCUUAGGAGGGCUGAUCUGGAGUCCGUUUGGGGCUUCGGAGAGGGGAAUCCAUCGCCGUCGUCAUCAUCAACCUUCCUCCAUCACCAAUUUCAUGAUGCUCACCGCCGUGCGUGAGUAAUUCCAUCGUAGCACUAGUAGAAAAAUAGCCUAAUGUGAAGCUCAUUAAUCCCGGUUUGUAAUUGAACCGGCACUAAUGUGACCAUUAGUGCCGGUUCAAACGGCUAGGCGGGCGGCGCUCAUUAGUACCGGUUCGUGGCGAACCUUUAGUACCGGUUCGUGCCACGAACCGGUACUAAAGAGCUAGUGGCCUUUAGUACGGGUUGGUGGCUCCAACCGGUACUAAAGACCCCCCUCUUUAGUACGGGUUUGUGCCACCAACCGGUACUAAAGGGGUGCGCUGCCACCCGCAGUGCACAAUGUUUAGUCCCACCUCGCUAGUUGAGAGGAGCUCGCACCGGUUUAUAAGCCCCGCCGCGGCUACCGUGUCGAGCUCCUCUCUAAGCAGGCCUUUGUGGGCCUAUUGCAAGUCUUCUGCCCUGUGGGGCCUACUGGGCCGUACGGGCCUGCAUCCUGGCCCAACUAGAGGUUGGGUUUCUAGGCGUAUGCAGGCCGUGCCGGCCCAAUAUGUGGGCUGUUUUUGCUUUAUUUCAAAAAAAAAUCAAAACAACAAAUCCUUUAGUCCCAGUUGGUGUUACCAACCGGGACUAAAGGUCCCCUAGACCACUGCGCUCCUCGUGCCACGUGGUGGCCCUUUAGUGACGGUUCGUGUUGAACCGGUACUAAAGGGUUGGGGGGCUUUAGUCUCCACACUUUAAUGCCGGUUGCAGAACCGGCACUAAAGGGCCUUACGAACCGGUGCUAAAGCCCGGUUUUGCACUAGUGUAGGCUUGCUGGACGGUGAUGAGUUGGAUGAGAUUUAUCAUGUAAUCGAGUUAGUUUUGUUAGGGUUUGAUCCCUAGUAUCCAUUAUGUUCUGAGAUUGAUGUUGCUAUGACUUUGCUAUGCUUAAUGCUUGUCACUAGGGCCUGAGUGCCAUGAAUUCAGAUCUGAACCUAUUAUGUUUUCAUGAAUAUAUGUGAGUUCUUGAUCUUAUCUUGCAAGUCAUUAGUCACCUACUAUGUGUUAUGAUCCGACAACCCCGAAGUGACAAUAAUCGGGACCACUCUGGGUGAUGACCGUAGUUUGAGGAGUUCAUGUAUUCACUAUGUGUUAAUGCUUUGGUCAGGUACUCUAUUAAAAGGAGGCCUUAAUAUCCCUUAGUUUCCAAUAGGACCCCGCUGCCACGGGAGGGUAGGAUAGAAGAUGUCAUGCAAGUUCUUUUCCAUAAGCACAUAUGACUAUAUUCGGAAUACAUGCCUACAUUACAUUGAUGAACAUGAGCUAGUUAUGUGUCACCCUAUGUUAUAACUAUUGCAUGAGGAAUCGCAUCCGACAUAAUUAUCCAUCACUGAUCCAAUGCCUACGAGCUUUUCACAUAUUGCUCUUUGCUUAGUUACUUUGCCAUUGCUACUGUUACGAUUACUACAAAACUGCUACUGUUACUUUUGCCACUGUUACCGUUACUUCCAUACUACUUUGCUACUAAAUACUUUGCUGUAGAUAUUAACUUAUCCAGGUGUGGUUGAAUUGACAACUCAACUGAUAAUACUUGAGAAUAUUCUUUGCCUCCCCUUGUGUCGAAAUAAUAAAUUUGGGUUGAAUACUCUGUUGGGUUUCGUAGUAAUUUCAAAAAAUUUCCUACGCUCACACAGGAUCAUGGUGAUGUAUAGCAACGAGAGGGAGAGUGUGUCCACGUACCCUCGUAGACCGAAAGCGAAAGCGUUAUGACAACGCGGUCGAUGUAGUCGUACUUGACGAUCCGACCGAUCAACAGUUGAUGUAGUUGUACGUCUUCACGAUCCGACCGAUCAAGCACCGAACGUACGGCACCUCCGAGUUCAGCACACGUUCAGCUCGAUGACGUCCCUCGAACUCCGAUCCAGCCGAGUGUUGAGGGAGAGUUUUGUCAGCACAACGACGUGGUGACGAAGUUGACGUUCUACCGACGCAGGGCUUCGCCUAAGCACCGUUACAGUAUUAUCGAGGUGUAAUUUGGUGUAGGGGGGCGCCGCACACGGCUAAGAGAUCAAAUCAAUCGUAUGUGUGGCGCCCCCUGCCUCUGUAUAUAAAGGAGCCAAGGGGGAGGUGGCCGGCCCAAGGGGGAGGCGCCAGGAGGAGUCCUACUCCCACCGGGAGUAGGACUCCCCCCUCUCCUAGUUGGAUUAGGAUUGGAGGGGGGGGGGAAGAGAGAAGGAAGGGGUCGGCCCCCUUUUCCCCUAAACCAAUUCGGUUUGGGCUAGGGGGGGCGCACCCUUGCUCCCCUCUCUUCCCACUAAGGCCCACUAAGGCCCAACAGCCUCCCGGGGGGUUCCGGUAACCUCCCGGUACUCCGGUAAAAUCCCGAUUUCACCCGGAACACUUCCGAUAUCCAAACAUAGGCUUCCAAUAUAUCAAUCUUUAUGUCUCGACCAUUUCGAGACUCCUCGUCAUGUCCGUGAUCACAUCCGGGACUCCGAACAACCUUCGGUAUAUCAAACUCAUAAACUCAUAAUAUAACCGUCAUCGAAACCUUAAGCGUGCGGACCCUACGGGUUUGAGAACUAUGUAGACAUGACCGAGACACUUCUCCAGUCAAUAACCAAUAGUGGAACCUGGAUGUUCAUACUGGCUCCCACAUAUUCUACGAAGAUCUUUAUCGGUCAAACCGCAUAACAACAUGCGUUGUUCCCUUGUCAUCGGUAUGUUACUUGCCCGAGAUUCGAUCGUCGGUAUCUCAAUACCUAGUUCAAUCUCGUUACCGGCAAGUCUCUUUACUCGUUCCGUAAUACAUCAUCCCGCAACUAACUCAUUAGCUACAAUGCUUGCAAGGCUUAUAGUGAUGUGCAUUACCGAGAGGGCCCAGAGAUACCUCUCCGACAAUCGGAGUGACAAAUCCUAAUCUCGAAAUACGCCAACCCAACAAGUACCUUUGGAGACACCUGUAGAGCACCUUUAUAAUCACCCAUUUACGUUGUGACGUUUGGUAGCACACAAAGUGUUCCUCCGGUAAACGGGAGUUGCAUAAUCUCAUAGUCAUAGGAACAUGUAUAAGUCAUGAAUAAAGCAAUAGCAGAAUACUAAACGAUCGUGUGCUAAGCUAUCGGAAUGGGUCAAGUCAAUCACAUCAUUCUACUAAUGAUAUGAUCCCGUUAAUCAAAUGACAACUCAUGUCUAUGGCUAGGAAACAUAACCAUCUUUGAUCAAUGAGCUAGUCAAGUAGAGGCAUACUAGUGACAUACUGUUUGUCUAUGUAUUCACACAAGUAUUACGUUUCCAGUUAAUACAAUUCUAGCAUGAAUAAUAAACAUUUAUCAUGAUAUAAGGAAAUAAAUAAUAACUUUAUUAUUGCCUCUAGGGCAUAUUUCCUUCAGUCUCCCACUUGCACUAGAGUCAAUAAUCUGGAUUACACUGUAAUGAUUCUAACACCCAUGGAGCCUUGGUGCUGAUCAUGUUUUGCUCGUGGAAGAGGCUUAGUCAACGGGUCUGCAACAUUCAGAUCCGUAUGCAUCUUGCAAAUUUCUAUGUCUCCCACCUGGACUUGGUCCCUGAUGGAGUUGAAGCGUCUCUUUAUGUGUUUGGUCCUUUUGUGAAAUCUGGAUUCCUUCGCCAAGGCAAUUGCACCAGUAUUGUCACAAAAGAUUUUCAUUGGACCCGAUGCACUAGGUAUGACACCUAGAUCGGAUAUGAACUCCUUCAUCCAGACUCCUUCAUUUGCUGCUUCCGAAGCAGCUAUGUACUCCGCUUCACAUGUAGAUCCCGCCACGACGCUUUGUUUAGAACUCGUCCAACUGACAGCUCCACCGUUCAAUAUAAACACGUAUCCGGUCUGCGAUUUAGAAUCGUCCGGAUCAGUGUCAAAGCUUGCAUCGACGUAACCGCUUACGACGAGUUCUUUGUCACCUCCAUAAAUGAGAAACAUAUCCUUAGUCCUUUUCAGGUAUUUUAGGAUGUUCCUGACCGCUGUCCAGUGAUCCACUCCUGGAUUACUUUGGUACCUCCCUGCUAAACUAAUAGCAAGGCACACAUCAGGUCUGGUACACAGCAUUGCAUACAUGAUAGAGCCUAUGGCUGAAGCAUAGGGAACAUAUUUCAUCUUCUCUCUAUCUUCUGCAGUGGUCGGGCAUUGAGUCUUACUCAACUUCACACUCUGCAACACAGGCAAGAACCCUUUCUUCGCCUGAUCCAUUUUGAACUUCUUCAAAACUUUGUCCAGGUAUGUGCUUUGUGAAAGUCCAAUCAAGCGUUUUGAUCUAUCUCUAUAGAUCUUAAUGCCCAAUAUAUAAGCAGCUUCACCGAGGUCUUUCAUUGAAAAACUCUUAUUCAAAUAUCCCUUUAUGCUAUCCAGAAAUUCUAUAUUAUUUCCGAUCAACAAUAUGUCAUCCACAUAUAAUAUCAGAAAUGCUACAGAGCUCCCACUCACUUUCUUGUAAAUACAGGCUUCUUUAAAAGUCUGUACAAACCCAUAUGCUUUGAUCACACUAUCAAAACAUUUAUUCCAACUCCGAGAGGCUUGCACCAGUCCAUAAAUGGAUCGCUGGAGCUUGCACACUUUGUUAGCUCCCUUUGGAUCGAUAAAACCUUCCGGUUGCAUCAUAUACAACUCCUCUUCCAGAAACCCAUUCAGGAAUGCAGUUUUUACAUCCAUUUGCCAAAUUUCAUAAUCAUAAAAUGCGGCAAUUGCUAACAUGAUUCGGACAGACUUAAGCAUCGCUACGGGUGAGAAAGUCUCAUCGUAGUCAAUCCCUUGAACUUGUCGAAACCCUUUCGCAACAAGUCGAGCUUUGUAGACAGUAACAUUACCGUCAGCGUCAGUCUUCUUCUUAAAGAUCCAUUUAUUCUCAAUUGCUUGCCGAUCACCGGGAAAGUCAACCAAAGUUCACACUUUGUUCUCAUACAAGGAUCCCAUCUCUGAUUUCAUGGCCUCAAGCCAUUUUGCGGAAUCUGGGCUCACCAUCGCUUCUUCAUAGUUCGUAGGUUCGUCAUGAUCUAGUAACAUAACUUCCAAAACUGGAUUACCGUACCACUCUGGUGCGGAUCUCACUCUGGUUGAUCUACGAGGUUCAGUAGUUACUUGAUCUGAAGUUUCAUGAUCAUCAUCAUUAACUUCCUCACUAAUUGGUGUAGGAGUCACAGGAACAGAUUUCUGUGAUGAACUACCUUCCAACAAUGGAGGAGAUACAGUUAUCUCAUCAAGUUCUACUUUCCUCCCACUCACUUCUUUCGAGAGAAACUCUUCUCUAGAAAGGAUCCAAACUUAGCAACAAAAGUCUUGCCUUCGGAUCUGUGAUAGAAGGUGUACCCAACAGUCUCUUUUGGCCUAUGAAGACACAUUUCUCUGAUUUGGGUUCGAGCUUAUCAGGUUGAAGCUUUUUCACAUAAGCAUCGCAUCCCCAAACUUUAAGGAACGACAACUUUGGUUUCUUGCCAAACCACAGUUCAUAAGGCGUCGUCUCAAUGGAUUUAGAUGGUGCCCUAUUUAACGUGAAUGCAACAGUCUCUAGAGCAUAGCCCCAAAACGAUAGCGGUAGAUCAGUAAGAGACAUCAUAGAUCGCACCAUAUCUAGUAAAGUACGAUUACGACGUUCGGACACACCAUUACGCUGUGGUGUUCCGGGUGGCGUGAGUUGCGAAACUAUUCCGCAUUGUUUCAAAUGAAUACCAAACUCGUAACUCAAAUAUUCUCCUCCACGAUCAGAUCGUAGAAACUUUAUUAUCUUGUUACGGUGAUUUUCCACUUCACUCUGAAAUUCCUUGAACUUUUCAAACGUUUUAGACUUAUGCUUCAUUAAGUAGAUAUACCCAUAUCUGCUUAAAUCAUCUGUGAAGGUGAGAAAAUAACGAUACCCGCCGCGAGCCUCAACAUUCAUUGGACCACAUACAUCAGUAUGUAUGAUUUCCAACAAAUCAGUUGCUCGCUCCAUAGUUCCGGAGAACGGCGUUUAGUCAUCUUGCCCAUGAGGCACGGUUCGCAAGUACCAAGUGAUUCAUAAUCAAGAGGUUCCAAAAGUCCAUCAGUAUGGAGUUUCUUCAUGCGCUUUACACCGAUAUGACCUGAACGGCAGUGCCACAAAUAAGUGGCAUUAUCUUUAUCAACUCUGCAUCUUUUGGAUUCAAUAUUAUGAAUAUGUGUAUUACUACUAUCGAGAUUCAACAAAAAUAGACCAUUCUUCAAGGGUGCAUGACCAUAAAAGAUAUUAUUCAUAUAAAUAGAACAACCAUUAUUCUCUGAUUUAAAUGAAUAACUGUCUCGCAUCAAACAAGAUCCAUAUAUAAUGUUCAUGCUCAACGCUGUCACCAAAUAACAUUUAUUUAGGUCUAAAACUAAUCCCGAAGGUAGAUGUAGAUGUAGCGUGCCGACUGCGAUCACAUCGACUUUGGAACCGUUUCCCACGCGCAUCGUCACCUUGUCCUUAGCCAAUCUUCGCUCAAUCCGUAGCCCCUGUUUCGAGUUGCAAAUAUUAGCAACAGAACCAGUAUCAAAUACCCAGGUGCUACUGCGAGUACUAGUAAGGUACACAUGAAUAACAUGUAUAUCAUAUAUACCUUUGUUCACCUUGCCAUCCUUCUUAUCCGCCAAAUACUUGGGGCAGUUCCGCUUCCAGUGGCUAGUUUGUUUGCAGUAGAAGCACUCAGUCUCAGGCUUAGGUCCAGACUUGGGUUUCUUCUCCUGAGCAGCAACUUGUUGUUCUUCUUGAAGUUCCCCUUCUUCAUCCCUUUGCCCUUUUUCUUGAAACUGGUGGUUUUGUUAACCAUCAACACUUGAUGCUCCUUUUUGAUUUCUACCUCCGCAGCCUUUAGCAUCGCGAAGAGCUCGGGAAUAGUCUUUUCCAUCCCUUGCAUAUUAUAGUUCAUCACGAAGCUCUUGUAGCUUGGUGGCAGUGAUUGAAGAAUUCUGUCAAUGACGCUAUCAUCCGGAAGAUUAACUCCCAGCUGAAUCAUGUGAUUAUGAUACCCAGACAUCUUGAGUAUAUGCUCACUGACAGAACUAUUCUCCUCCAUCUUGCAGCUAUAGAACUUAUUGGAGACUUCAUAUCUCUCAAUCCGGGCAUUUGCUUGAAAUAUUACCUUCAACUCCUGAAACAUCUCAUAUGCUCCAUGACGUUCAAAACGUCGUUGAAGACCCGGUUCUAAGCCGUAAAGCAUGGCACACUGAACUAUCGAGUAGUCAUCAGCUUUGCUUUGCCAGACGUUCAUAACAUCAGGUGCUGCUCCUGCAGCAGGCCUGGUGCCCAGCGGUGCUUCCAGGACGUAAUUCUUCUGUGCAGCAAUGAGGAUAAUCCUCAAGUUACGGACCCAGUCCGUGUAAUUGCUACCAUCAUCUUUCAACUUUGCUUUCUCAAGGAACGCAUUAAAAUUUAAUGGAACAACAGCACGGGCCAUCUAUCUACAACAACAUAGACAAGCAAGAUACUAUCAGGUACUAAGUUCAUGAUAAAUUUAAGUUCAAUUUAAUCAUAUUACUUAAGAACUCCCACUUAGAUAGACAUCUCUCUAAUCCUCUAAGUGAUCACGUGAUCCAAACCAACUAAACCGUGUCCGUUCAUCACGUGAGACGGAGUAGUUUCAAUGGUGAACAUCACUAUGUUGAUCAUAUCUACUAUAUGAUUCACGCUCGACCUUUCGGUCUCCGUGUUCCGAGGCCAUAUCUGUUAUAUGCUAGGCUCGUCAAGUUUAACCUGAGUAUUCCGCGUGCGCAACUGUUUUGCACCCGUUGUAUUUGAACGUAGAGCCUAUCACACCCGAUCAUCACGUGGUGUCUCAGCACGAAGAACUUUUGCAACGGUGCAUACUCAGGGAGAACACCUUUUACUUGAUAAUUUAGUGAGAGAUCAUCUUAUAAUGCUACCGUCGUUCUAAGCAGAAUAAGAUGCAUAAAAGAUAAACAUCACAUGCAAUCAAUAUAAGUGAUAUGAUAUGGCCAUCAUCAUCUUGUGCUUGUGAUAUCCAUCCCCGAAGCACCUUCACGAUCACCAUCGUCACCGGCGCGACACCUUGAUCUCCAUUGUAGCAUCGUUGCACCGUCAUGAUCACCAUCGUCAUCGGCGCGACACCUUGAUCUCCAUCGUAGCAUCGUUGUUGUUUCGCCAAACUUAUGCUUUCACGACUAUCGCUACCGCUUAGUGAUAAAGUAAAGCAUUACAUCGCGAUUUCAUUGCAUACAAUAAAGCGACAACCAUAUGGCUCCUGCCAGUUGCCGAUAACUCGGUUACAAAACAUGAUCAUCUCAUACAACAAAUUAUAUCACAUCAUGCCUUGACCAUAUCACAUCACAACAUGCCCUGCAAAAACAAGUUAGACGUCCUCUACUUUGUUGUUGCAAGUUUUACGUGGCUGCUACGGGCUUCGCAAGAACCGUUCUUACCUACGCAUCAAAACCACAAUGAUAGUUUGUCAAGUUGGUGCUGUUUUAACCUUCGCAAGGACCGGGCGUAGCCACACUCGAUUCAACUAAAGUGAGAGAGACAGACACCCGCCAGUCACCUUUAAGCAACGAGUGCUCGCAGCGGUGAAACCGGUCUCGCGUAAGCGUACGCGUAAUGUUGGUCCGGGCCGCUUCAUCUCACAAUACCGCCAAACCAAAGUAUGACAUGCUGGUAAGCAGUAUGACUUAUAUCGCCCACAACUCACUUGUGUUCUACUCGUGCAUAACAUCAACGCAUAAAACCGUGCUCUUACCACUGUUGGGUUUCGUAGUAAUUUCAAAAAAUUUCCUACGCUCACACAGGAUCAUGGUGAUGUACAGCAACGAGAGGGAGAGUGUGUCCACGUACCCUCGUAGACCGAAAGCGAAAGCGUUAUGACAACGCGGUCGAUGUAGUCGUACUUGACGAUCCGACUGAUCAACAGUUGAUGUAGUUGUACGUCUUCACGAUCCGACCGAUCAAGCACCGAACGUACGGCACCUCCGAGUUCAGCACACGUUCAGCUCGAUGACGUCCCUCGAACUCCGAUCCAGCCGAGUGUUGAGGGAGAGUUUCGUCAGCACAACGGCGUGGUGACGAUGUUGACGUUCUACCGACGCAGGGCUUCGCCUAAGCACCGCUACAGUAUUAUCGAGGUGUAAUUUGGUGUAGGGGGGCGCCGCACACGGCUAAGAGAUCAAAUCAAUCGUAUGUGUGGCGCCCCCUGCCUCUGUAUAUAAAGGAGCCAAGGGGGAGGUGGCCGGCCCAAGGGGGAGGAGCCAGGAGGAGUUCUACUCCCACCGGGAGUAGGACUCCCCCCUCUCCUAGUUGGAUUAGGAUUGGAGGGGGGGAAAGAGAGAAGGAAGGGGCCGACCCCCUUUGCCCCUAAACCAAUUCAGUUUGGGCUAGGGGGGGCGCACCCUUGCUUCCCUCUCUUCCCACUAAGGCCCACUAAGGCCCAACAGCCUCCCGGGGGUUCCGGUAACCUCCCGGUACUCCGGUAAAAUCCCGAUUUCACCUGGAACACUUCUGAUAUCCAAACAUAGGCUUCCAAUAUACCAAUCUUUAUGUCUCGACCAUUUAGAGACUCCUCAUCAUGUCCGUAAUCACAUCCGGGACUCCGAACAACCUUCGUUACAUCAAACUCAUAAACUCAUAAUAUAACCGUCAUCGAAACCUUAAGCGUGCGGACCCUACAGGUUCGAGAACUAUGUAGACAUGACCGAGACACUUCUCCAGUCAAUAACCAAUAGUGGAACCUGGAUGUUCAUAUUGGCUCCCACAUAUUCUACGAAGAUCUUUAUCGGUCAAACCGCAUAACAACAUACGUUGUUCCCUUUGUCAUCGGUAUGUUACUUGCCCGAGAUUCGAUCAUCGGUAUCUCAAUACCUAGUUCAAUCUCGUUACCGGCAAGUCUCUUUACUCGUUCCGUAAUACAUCAUCCCGCAACUAACUCAUUAGCUGCAAUGCUUGCAAGGCUUAUAGUGAUGUGCAUUACCGAGAGGGCCCAGAGAUACCUCUCCGACAAUCGGAGUGACAAAUCCUAAUCUCGAAAUACGCCAACCCAACAAGUACCUUUGGAGACACCUGUAGAGCACCUUUAUAAUCACCCAUUUACGUUGUGACAUUUGGUAGCACACAAAGUGUUCCUCCGGUAAACGGGAGUUGCAUAAUCUCAUAGUCAUAGGAACAUGUAUAAGUCAUGAAGAAAGCAAUAGCAGAAUACUAAACGAUCGUGUGCUAAGCUAUCGGAAUGGGUCAAGUCAAUCACAUCAUUCUACUAAUGAUAUGAUCCCGUUAAUCAAAUGACAACUCAUGUCUAUGGCUAGGAAACAUAACCAUCUUUGAUCAACGAGCUAGUCAAGUAGAGGCAUACUAGUGACAUACUAUUUGUCUAUGUAUUCACACAAGUAUUACGUUUCCAGUUAAUACAAUUCUAGCAUGAAUAAUAAACAUUUAUCAUGAUAUAAGGAAAUAAAUAAUAACUUUAUUAUUGCCUCUAGGGCAUAUUUCCUUCAUACUCUACCCUCAAAAACUGUUGCAAUCCCCUAUACUUGUGGGUUAUCAGCUCCUAACAUUGAUCCAUCCAACCUUAUUGAUGAUGAAGCUGUGUUUAGAGCAUUGACCGGUAUCAACCGGGCUAUGCCUGACUUCCAGCUGAUGGAUAAUCAAGGAGUUGAAGAGGAAGUAGAGGCGCAGGAUGAUCCGGAGGCUUCAACCCGCCCAGAGUCAUGAGCCAUUUUAUUAAUCAUAGCACUUUGAUGUUUACGUCUCCAAAACACUUAUCCUCUUUGGGCCAUCGGAUGCCUUGUAAUAGGCUAGUUUAAACUCUGAUCUGUCGUGCCAUCGUGCACGAUUUGUUUGCAUAACACUGCUGAUCCGUCAGUUGAAGGUCUGCCACUUAUGCUCAUGAUAUCAUCAAGUAUGCACAUCAGAUUUAUCAGUUUUCCUACACACAAACAGAUCACAAGUGCCCUGGCAGUUUACCCCAGGGCGGGUCACAAUACCCCAUAUAAAAACCAUUAGUGACGAUAAGUCCAUAACCAGGGCCGGUUUAAUUACAACCUUAUAUAAUCAUAACAAAAUAUCAUACCUAUGAUAUUUGCUCACACUGCCGGCUUAUCAUACCUGUGCAGUAAGAGUUACAACCCAAAAAUUGAGAGCACAACGCCCUGUUCAAUUGAUUCAUACCGCCGGUCAUAACGCCAUAUGCAGCGAGGGGUAACAUCCCAAAGUUUAGAGCCAGUACUCUAGGCACAAGAUCAUCACAUGCUGGCGACUUAAAGUCCAAAGCCAGACCGGGUUAAUAAACACCGAAUAGAUUUAUAUAUGAACCAUAAGGCAACAUAGCCCUCAUCGGUUUUCAACCAUGUAUUAACAUGUCACAAGAGAUAAAUAUCAAAAAAUGUUCAAAUUGAAUAUAAAUAAAAAAUAAGGCUUUCAUAGGCCGCCAGGCCUCAAAGUCAAAUGUUGUUCAAGGGCUGCAAAGCCGCUGAGUUAAACCUUUAUUCAAACCUUGUAAGCUGGACCUCACAUGACCAAUCGCUGUUUUAACUUUGACAAGUUCAGGGUCUUUAUAAGAUUGACUGUCAAGAGUACGGCGAGUCAUUACAGGAUUACCUGGGCAGAGUGGCCAACUUACAAAGGCAGGAUAACCCGGAUUGUUUGGUGAAUACACCUAGUGUCCAAGCCUAUUACAAGGGUCAUCAAAGCUCUUGUCCAUUAACAAAGAUCCCCCAAGUAAUGUUUUAUUCCAGGCAUAUAAGCCGGAUCAAUAGGAUAGUCAUAACUAUGCUCCAUGAGCAGGAAGCCCCCAAGUAUGUCUUAAUCAUGGCAUACAAGCUGGAUCAAGAGGGUAGUCAUAGCUAUGCUCAAUGAGCAGGAAGCCCCCAAGUGAUCAUAUGAAGUGACAAUAAAGACUCAUUAUUCUCAGAAAUGAAACGAUAGAGGCCCUGAAUUAUCGGGGAUGCUGGCUUUAUUAUAUUCAUCAUAAUAUAUACAUCAUCAAAAUAUGUACAUCACAAGAGCCAGUGGCUCAGGUGUAAUAAGGCCGAAGAUGAGCAAUAUUCCACGGACGGCGGGUCUCCUCCUCCGACGUGCGUGAGUCCUUGUGGUCUCGAACAUUGAUAAGGUAGUAUGACCCGUUGUUCAGAUUUUUGCUGACCACAAUGGGUCCUUCCCAAGGUGGGGAUAGCUUGUGCAUGUCAGUUUGAUCCUGGAUAAGCCGGAGCACCAAAUCACCUUCUUAAAAGGUCCUAGUUUUAACCCGGCGGCUAUGAUAACGGCGCAAAUCUUGCUGGUAAAUCGCCGAACAAGCCGCCGCUAGGUCACGCUCCUCGUCCAAUGAUACGUCUCCAACGUAUCUAUAAUUUAUGAAGUAUUCAUGCUAUUAUAUUAUCCAUCUUGGAUGUUUUAUGGGCUUUACUAUGCACUUUUAUAUUACUUUUGGGACUAACCUAUUGACCCACAGCCCAGUGCCAGUUCCUGUUUUUUCCCUUGUUUCAGUGUUUCGAAGAAAAGGAAUAUCAAACGGAGUCGAAACGGAAUGAAACCUUCUGGAGAAGUUAUUUUUGGAAAGAAAGCAACCCGGGAGACUUGGAGUCCACGUCAAGAAAGCAACGAGGAAGGCACGAUGUAGGGGAGCGCGCCCACCCCCUGGGCGCGCCCUCCACCCUCGUGGGCCCCUCAUGGCUCCCCUGACGUACUUCUUCCGCCUAUAUAUAUCCAUAUACCCUCAAAACUUCGGGGAACAGAAUAGAUCUGGAGUUCCGCCGCCGCAAGCCUCUGUAGCCACCAAAAACCAAUCGGGACCCUGUUCCGGCACCCUGCCGGAGGAGGGAUGCCUCACCGGUGGCCAUCUUCAUCAUCCCGGCGAUCUCCAUGACGAGGAGGGAGUAGUUCACCCUCGGGGCUGAGGGUAUGUACCAGUAGCUAUGUGUUUGAUCUCUCUCUCGUGUUCUUGAGGUGAUUCGAUCUUGAUGUAUCGCGAGCUUUGCUAUUAUAGUUGGAUCUUAUGUUGCUUUUCCCCCUCUAGUCUCUUGUAAUGGAUUGAGUUUUCCCUUUGAAGUUAUCUUAUCGGAUUGAGUCUUUAAAGAUUUGAGAACACUUGAUGUAUGUCUUGCCGUGCGUAUCUGUGGUGACAAUGGGAUAUCACGUGAUUCACUUGAUGUAUGUUUUGGUGAUCAACUUGUGGGUUACGCCCAUGAACCUAUGCAUAGGGUUUGGCACACGUUUUCAUCUUGAUUCUCCGGUAGAAACUUUGGGGCACUCAUUAAGGUUCUAUGUGUUGGUUGAAUAGAUGAAUCUUAGAUUGUGUGAUGCAUAUCGUAUAAUCAUACCCACGGAUACUUGAGGUGACAUUGGAGUAUCUAGGUGACAUUAGGGUUUUGGUUGAUUUGUAUCUUAAGGUGUUAUUCUAGUACGAACUCUAGGGCUGUUUGUGACACUUAUAGGAAUAGCCCAAUGGAUUGAUUGGAAAGAAUAACUUUGAGGUGGUUUCGUACCCUACCAUAAUCUCUUCGUUUGUUCUCCGCUAUUAGUGACUUUGGAGUGACUCUUUGUUGCAUGUUGAGGGAUAGUUAUAUGAUCCAACUAUGUUAUUAUUGUUGAGAGAACUUGCACUAGUGAAAGUAUGAACCCUAGGCCUUGUUUCCUAGCAUUGCAAUACCGUUUACGCUCACUUUUACCAAUUGUUACCUUGCUAUUUUUAUAUUUUCAGAUUACAAAAACCUAUAUCUACCAUCCAUAUUGCACUUGUAUCACCAUCUCUUCGCCGAACUAGUGCACCUAUACAAUUUACCAUUGUAUUGGGUGUGUUGGGGACACAAGAGACUCUUUGUUAUUUGGUUGCAGGGUUGUUUGAGAGAGACCAUCUUCAUCCUACGCCUCCCACGGAUUGAUAAACCUUAGGUCAUCCACUUGAGGGAAAUUUGCUACUGUCCUACAAAUCUCUGCACUUGGAGGCCCAACAACGUCUACAAGGAGAAGGUUGCGUAGUAGACAUCAAGCUCUUUUCUGGCGCCGUUGCCGGGGAGGCUAGGUACGCGGCACUCACACCCCGUCAACUAAGCUCUUUUCUGGCGCCGUUGCCGGGGAGGCUAGGUAAGCGGCACUCACACCCCGUCAACUAAGCUCUAUUCUGGCACCGUUGCCGGGGAGGUGAGUGCUUGAAGGUAUAUCUUUAGAUCUUGCAAUCGAAUCUUUUUGUUUCUUGUUUUAUCACUAGUUUAGUUUAUAAAAUAAAACUACAAAAAAUGGAAUUGAGUUUGCCUCAUACGCUUCAUCUUUUUAAUGUCUUUCAUGAAAAUGAUGGGAAGGAAAAUUGUGCUCAAGUACUAGAAGAAGAAUUACAUAGAAUGCUGGGCAUAAAAUAUGUGAAUGAUGAGCAUGAUUGCAAUGUUGUUAGUAUGAAUUCUUUGAAUACCCAUGAUGCUAAUGAUAUGCAAAGCCACAAGCUUGGGGAUGCUAUGUUUGAUGAAGAUGAUAUUUUUUGUCCCCCAAGUUUUGAUGAGAAAAUUUACUAUGAUAAAAGCAUGUCUCCUAUCUAUGAUGAUUAUUGCGAUGACACGUAUGCUAUAAAGAAUAAUGAUAACCAUGAAACUUGUCAUCUUGAUCUUAAUUUUCAAUCACAUGAUAGUUAUUUUAUUGAGUUUGCUCCCACUACUAUUCAUGAGAAGAACUUUGCUUAUGUGGAGAGUAGUAAAAUUUCUAUGCAAGUAGAUCAUGAAAAGAAUGCUUUAGGUGCUGGUUAUAUUGUUGAAUUCAUUCAUGAUGCUGCUGAAAAUUAUUAUGAGGGAGGAAUGUAUGCUUGUAGGAAUUGCAAUAAUAUCAAGUUUCCUCUCUAUGUGCUUAAAGUUUUGAAGUUAUGCCUGUUUUGCCUUCCUAUGCUAGUUGAUUAUUGUUCCCAUAAGUUGUUUGCUCACAAAAUCCCUAUGCAUAGGAAGUGGGUUAGACUUAAAUGUGCUAGUCAUAUUCUUCAUGAUGCUCCCUUUAUGUUUCAAUUCUUAUCUUUUAUGUGAGCAUCAUUGAAAUCAUCAUGCCUAGCUAGGGUGUAAGUGCAUCUAGUGCCCCUUAGUGAUUUUGGUGUAUUGAAGACUUAUAGGUUAAGGGACUAAUGCGUUUGUGAGUGUACACAGAUCUAUAAGUCUAUGAGGAAUGAGAUAUUUACAGGAAAUGUCGACCCCUAAAAAUGAAUAUCUUCGACUGAAGAGUUUGGUAUUCCUGAAGACUUUCAUGAAGACUUUGAAAGUGAAGAAAUUGGUGUGACCGUGAAGACUUGAUAUUCAUGUGAGGAUUAUGAAGCUUGAAGACUUUUGUUUUCAUAGUUUUGUUUUUCUUUUUCUUGAGUCAUAGGAAACACCGUACUGUUAAAGGGGGUCGAGGAAAUACUAAGGAAAAUUUCCAAGUGAUGCUCAACUCAAAAUUCUACACCUACCAAUCCCUUCGAGUGAAGCCAUUGGAAAUCUCAUACAGUUCAGUCAUAUUCUUCAGUGACAGAGACGAAGUUCUUCUGGUCUCUGAGGAAUUUGUUCUAACUGAGGAGUUAGGAAUUCGCCAUUGCGGAUUGCCUACACAGUGAGGAACAUGAUAGUCCUGAGGAAUUUGAUAGUCAAAUUUCCGACCAUUGCUGUGCUAUGCGCCAGCUAUCCCAAAAUAUCUUAUCCACCUAACGGUCAUAUCAUUGAUGGGCAUUUAUGUCUUAUCAUGUCAGGCUGCUCCCUAGGCUAUAAAUAGCCGCCCCCUACAACCACUAGCUGGUUGGCUGCUCCGGAAGAAACUGACACUUGUCAAUUGAGAGCAACCCAUCCUCUUGAGAAAUUUGAGAGAAAAUCAUCAAGUGAGGAAAAACCCAAACCCAAACACCUACAAACCCAAAGUGAUGGAGCAUCACUGAAGAGAUUGAUCCUGCGUGGAUCCGACGCUUUUUACCUUUGAAGACUGUGCUUCUUCCAGACGGUUAGGCGUCAUGGUCUGAGCAUCCAAGAGGAAUUGUGGAUCGUCGUGUGACCAAGUUUGUGAAGGUUUGGAAGUCACCUGAAGACUUACCACGAGUGAUUGGGCGAGGUCUGUGUGACCUUAGCUCAAGGGGAAUAAGGUGAGGACUGAGUGUCUUGGACUGUGUGUCCUUGACUGGGUGUCCGGGACUGUGUGUCCUCAGGUUUCAAUACCUAGCCGCCCUAACCAGACAUACAACUGAGACAACAGUUGGAACUGGUCUACCAAAUCAUUGUCUUCACCAAGCCACUGGUUCUAUUUCCUCAACUCUUUCAUUUCCUCAUCUCUGUUCUGUGUAUGUGUCAUAUCUGUGUUUGAAGACUUUGACUGAAGACUUUCUCAAUUUCCUCAGUUCAAUUUCUUCAGUCUGUUUGUCUUCAUCUUGUGUAUCCUGUGUGUACGCAUUCCGUACUCCGUUUACUUUCAUUUCAUCAUGAUGAACAUGCUUAUGCUCUGUUAUGAUUGCUUCUGAGUACUUAUUCCGCUGCAAGUAGUUCUUCAGUUAGGAAUUUCCUCACCCGCAAAUUCCUCAGUGAAGAAUUCAUAAAAAUCGCCUAUUCACCCCCCCUCUAGUCGAUAUAACGCACUUUCAAUUGGUAUCAGAGCAAGGUACUCCCUUGUUCUGUGUGAUUUUGGUUUAACCGCCUGGAGUUUUAGUUAUGUUGACCACAGGUAUGAUCAAGGUCUCUGCUGGGUGUCCUACCUUCGAUGGGUCGGACUAUCCCUACUGGAAGAAUAAGAUGCGAAUGCAUCUUGAGGCAAUUGACAAUGAUCUCUGGUAUGUUGUGGAAAAUGGUGUUCCAUCUGUCUCACCCUCACUGAACGCUGCCGAUGUGAAGAGAUUCAAGCAACUCGAUUCUCAAGCGAAGAAUAUCAUAUGUGGCCAUCUGAGCAAAGGACAGUAUGGAAGAGUGAGUGCUUUGGAAACUGCUAAAAUUAUCUGGGAUAGGCUGUCCAAAGUCAACGAAGGAGUCUCUAUGCAGCGUGACUCUCGAGUUGAUGUUCUUCGCAAUCUCUUCAACCGCUUCAAAAUACUCGACAAUGAAAAUGUUCAACAAACCUUCGAUCGCCUCACUGACAUCUCAAAUGAACUUCAAGCGCUUGGUGCCACUGACAUCACCGACCAUGAGGUGGUGAAGAAAUUGUUGAGAUCGCUUGAUUCCUCAUUUGAUACUCUGGCUUUGAUGAUACAAGAGCGAGCUGAUUACAAGGCACUUGAUCCAGCUGAUAUCCUCGAGAGGCUAAAUACUCAUGAGUUCCAGCUUGCUAAAAAGAGAGAUCUCUAUGGCUCAAGCUAUGGCAGAUCACGUGCACUAAAGGCUAAGGCUGUCUCUGAAUCUGAAGACGAAGACUCUGACAGUAGCAUUGGUGAUCCUGAAGAACUGAGCCAUGAGCUUGCAAUGCUUGUGAGGAAAUUCCAGAAGCUCUCUAGACGUCGCUUUGGAAAAUCUUCAAGGAGCAAUGAUUCCUCAUCCAGUGACUACAAGAAGAGGCUUUGUCACAAAUGCAAGAAACCUAGACACUACAUUCAAGAUUGUCCUCAGUGGGAAAAGGAAUCAAAGAAGAAGAAAUACAAGGAUUACAGUUCUGAUGAUGUGAAGAAAAAGAAGAAAUCCUCAAAAUCUUCAUCAUCAAAAUCUUCAUCUCACAAGAAGAGUAGCUCCAAGAAGGCUCGGGCAUUCAUUGGCAAGGAAAUGGACUCUGAAGCUGAAUCUGAGGAAAAUGAAGAGGAAGAGGUCUCUGAAGAAUCUGAAUCUGGUGUGGCUAGCCUAGCUCUCGCCACUGCUUUCGUCAGCAAGUCUAUCUUCAACUCUGAAGAAAAUGGUUUCACCAACAAGGCUGAUGAAGACAAUGAUGACUAUGCUCCCACCUAUUGCUUCAUGGCAAAGGGUGCCAAGGUACUCAAAUAUCCCUCUUCUGAAUCAAGUGAGGAUGAAUCUGACGAAAACCUUAAGCCCAGCUAUUCUAAACUUGCUAAAAUUGCCGUGAAACAACAAAGGGCUCUUGAAAAGGUUCAAAACAUGCUAGACAAAAGUGAUGAUAUGUUGGGUGAAGAAAUGGAUCGCACUCAAACCUUGACUGAAAAUCUUCAGAGACUUCAGUCCAAGUUUGAUAAUCUUCAUAGUCAUCAUAACACUCUCUUAACUGAUCAUGAGAAGCUUUCGUAUGAAUUUCUUCGAAGAAAGCAAGAUCUUGGGAAGCUAAGAGAGAGUUAUGAAGAUCUUCAGAAGGAGCGCGAUUCAUUACUUGCUCAACAAAUCAGCGCUGCUCAUGAAGAAUCUAUUCCUCCAUGUUUGAAGUGCAUUGAACGAGAAUCUGCUAAUUCUUCACCUGAAUGUUCAAAUGCUUCAACUGUUACAAAUUCUUCAUCUGUCUCUGCUAUCACUAAUUCCUCAUCUGAGGACAUUGCUAGUAUCACUGACGAUGCAGGGCUGAAGGAAUUGUACAUGACAGGCAUGUACAAAAGCCUCAAAGGGCAUCAGACUCUUCGUGAUGUGCUUAAAAAGGAGAUCCUCAACAGGAACCCUAGGAAAGAGGGUAUUGCCUUUGAGAGGAAACUGAAUGCUGAUGGUACAUAUUGGAAGCCUGAGCAGUACCCCAAAACCUCAUGGGUUGCUGCAAAGGGACCUCCAGUUGAUCCAUCUAAUUUAUCUGGCUAUACAUGUGAAUCUCCUCAUUCUUCUGAUGAGUCAUUUGACUCCAACUAUAAACUGUUCAAAAAUCAGAAUGCUGAAGUAUUUGCUAGAUAUGUUGGCACUAACUGCAGGAAUGGUUCCCCUAUGAAGAAAAUCUGGGUUCCCAGAAGGUGCCUUGAAAGUCUUCAGGUGAAUGUCAUCAUGACACCACCUGUGAAGAAAAGGAACCCCAGAUCAAAUUCUUCAUAUGGACCAAAUUCUUCAUAUGGAUCCAAGUCCUCAUAUGAACAUCAUCGUGCUAACAACUCUGUUUCGCAGGGAAGAGCAAAGGGCUAUGAAUAUGAGCAUUAUUCUUCUAACCAUUAUGUUCAUAAGUCCUCGAAGAAUUUCUCUGCUUAUUCAUAUGCUUACCCUAACUCAUCAUAUGUGAAACGAAAUGGACUGGCUUCUAUGCCACCUUUCUCUUAUGGAGCUCGCAGAGUGAUGAACUCUUUGCCACCCCUACAGGUGUGGGUGGUGAAGAAAAAGAACUAAUCUCUUAUGCAGGAUCAGGUCUCCAAACAUGCUAAAACGUCUGAAGAAGUUGCUGGAGACCUGAAACAUGCCUGAUAGGACGCAUGCUAAUCAUGAAGAAAUGAAUCUUCAUUUCUCACAUCCUCAUACUGCUUUAUAUGUUAUGUGCUGAUGAAAUUGAUCUGAUGAAUUGAUGUCAUAUUCUUCACUGAUGAAUUAUAUGAGAUCGUAAGUCGUACUAAUUCAUCUGCAGGAUGAUCACCCCAAAGUACAUGAGUGGGUACUCGAUAGUGGAUGUACAAAUCACAUGACUGGUGACAAGAAUCUACUGAUGGAUGCUCCCCUAUCUCCAUCGCAUCUGAAGCAUAUCACCUAUGCUGAUAAAGGCAAAAGCAAGGUAUUGGGCCUAGGUAAGGUUGCUAUCUCAAAGGAUUGACACAUGGACAAAGUCAUGCUUGUCGAGUCCUUAGGAUUUAAUCUCAUGUCUGUCUCAAUGCUUUGUGAUCUUGAUAUGGUUGUUAUCUUUGGCAAGUAUCAUUGUGUUGUGAUUAUGGAAGCUGACCAUUCCAAAGUCUUCGAAGGCUUUAGGAGAGGAGACUUGUAUAUUGUUGAUUUCUCUACAGGACCACAACCAGCCGUGUGCUUACUUGCAAAAGCUUCAGAAGGUUGGCUAUGGCAUCGACGACUUGGUCAUGCAGGCAUGAGGAACUUGCACACGCUAGCGAAGAAGAAGCAUGUCAUUGGCAUUGAGAAUGUCAAAUUCCUCAAGGAUCGCUUGUGUGGUGCCUGUGAAGCUGGAAAGAUGACCAAGGCCAAGCAUCCCGCGAAGACUAUCAUGACCACAUCUCGUCCAUUUGAAUUGCUUCACAUGGAUCUCUUUGGUCCAAAUCAUUAUUCAGCACUAACUAAUGAAGCAUCUCUAUAUGGCUUUGUCAUUGUUGAUGAUUACUCUCGCUAUACAUGGGUACACAUUGUUACUUACAAACAUGAAGUGCAGGAAGUCUUCAAACGAUUUUCCUCGAGGGCUUCAACCAACUUUGGUGUGAAGAUCAAGCACAUCAGAAGUGACAAUGGAACUGAGUUCAAGAAUUCUGGUCUUGAUGACUAUCUUGAUGAACUUGGUAUUACUCAUGAGCUUUCUGCACCUUAUACUCCUCAGCAGAAUGGCGUCGUGGAGCGCAAGAAUAGGACUCUCGUUGAGAUGGCAUGCACUAUGCUUGAUGAAUAUAAAACGCCUCCUCGUUUUUGGAUUGAGGCAAUUGAUACUGCAUGCCACAUCAUCAACAGAGUAUAUCUUCACAAAUUCUUCAAGAAGACUGCCUAUGAACUCCUCACUGACAAGAAACCCAAUGUGAGUUACUUCAAAGUCUUCGGUGCUAAAUGCUGGAUUAGAGAUCCUCAUCACCACUCUAAAUUUGCACCGAAAGCACAUGAGGAUUUUAUGCUUGGUUACGGACAGGACUCGCACACCUACAAAGUCUUCAACAACGUUCUUCACAAGGUUGUUGAAACUGUAGAUGUGCGGUUCGACGAAACUAAUGGCUCGCAAAGAAAGCACCUACCUUCUGUGAUAGAUGAACCAACACCUGAGGAAUCUAUCAAGUUCAAGGCUACUGAGGAUGUCGUUCCAACCGAAGAAUCUGCUAAAGAAUUCAUUCCAGAACGUGAAGAACGUCAAGCUAAUGCACCUGAAGAAAAUGGUGGUGAAGAAAAUGGUGCUGAGGAAAAUGCUGAUCAAAUUCCUCGACGACAACCAGCUCAUCCUCGCGUUGCAAAAGAAGUGCAAGUUGAAAAGAUCAUCGAUGACAUCAAAGCACCAGGUCCUCUCACACGCUCAAAAGCUUCACAUUUGUCUAACUUUUGUGGGCACUAUGCUUUUGUCUCUAUCACAGAGCCCACUAAGGUAGAUGAAGCAUUUCUGGAGCCUGAAUGGAUUCAGGCCAUGCAAGAAGAAUUACAUCAGUUCGAGCUCAACAACGUAUGGGAACUGGUCAAACGUCCAGAUCCUCGCAAGCAUAAUAUCAUUGGCACAAAGUGGAUAUACCGCAACAAGCAAGAUGAAAAUGGCCUUGUGGUGAGGAAUAAGGCAUGGCUUGUAGCUCAAGGCUACACACAGGUUGAAGGAAUUGAUUUCGAUGAAACUUUUGCACCUGUUGCUAGACUUGAGGCUAUUCGCAUAUUACUUGCUUAUGCUAACCAUCAUGAUAACAUCUUAUAUCAAAUGGAUGUGAAAAGUGCACUCCUGUCGGAGUAUUGGGUCAUGGGUAGCCUAACCCGUGCCCCAAGAUCUUCCAAAAGAUCAGGGCAGGCUGCGGCCCUCGAGACGCCAGGACGAAGCGCCGACCGGCCGACCGGCCGACGGGCCGACUGGCCGAUUGGCCGACUGGCCGACUGGCCGACUGCUGGAAGCCGGCUCGCCACGGGAGCCGGCGCCCCGUUCGGUCCGACUCCCUGCUGGUGACUCCUCAGGAGGCCGGCUCCCACGCAGCCGGCUCACGGCGCCCGACGGACCGGCGCCUCCAUUAAGAUGACAAGACGGGGAGAGGCUGCAGAGCUGCCCAUCCUCCCCCCGAAUCCAAGACCAGGCGUGGCCACAGUGCACCGCGGAGAUCUCCGACGGCGCUGCACUGUUACCACUCCGCCCCUGACGUCAUGGCCCCUGUUCCCACGACGGCCUGUCAGCACGGCCUGCAGGCGGCGGGCCCUGCUGGUCAGCGACAGCCCAGAAGACGGCUGGGGCUGGACCAGUCGGACCCAAGGGGAGUCGGCCUCUGGAGGUCGGCUGGCCUUCCCCUAGGGCUCUGUGCGCCAUUGACCAGAGGAGACGCGGCGUGGCUACAGUGAUCUGCCACCAGCCGGCGGGACUGUAGCCACGCUCCCACGACCAAGCUCACAUCAUCAACAUCCUGACAACAGUAACCAGGAGCCGGCAGGACCCGUGAUUUGCGGGUACGGCCUGUCAGCCCUGUGCCCUACCAGGCGGCGGGCCCGCCAAGCCGGCGGGCCCCAACAGUCGGCAGAGAAGCCGGCGCCCAGAGACACGGACAGACGGGACCCGCGCCCGGACAUAUUACCGUUGUACCCCCGAGGGGUAGGCCUAUAUAAGCCCCCCGGGGCACCCAUGCAAAGGGUUCGAACCCAUCAUGAUUAGCCACACACGUAGAGAAGGGAGGAGAGCUAGCCUUGCCUUCUCCUACCUCUAGCCAACAGCUCCAGGAGCACCUUUGUAGCCACUACGCCUUAGUGAUUAUGCGGAGACCCCACAGAGCAGGACUAGGGGUGUUAUCUCCUAGGAGAGCCCCGAACCUGGGUAAAGUCCGACGGUGUUCUUGCUUGCGCCUUAUCCCACUUCCAGGCACCGGGGACGUUCUACUCGCUCCCACCAUGAUAAGCCACCCGUUAGCAUAUGUCGCACCCAACCCCCAACAUUUGGCGCCCACCAUGGGGCGAGGUGCACCGUCUCCCGGAGACCUGCUCUGGAGGGGAACCUUGUUCCUUCCCAGCGAGCGUAGCCAGCCUGGCACGCCCGACGGCGUUUGCGCUGAUGCGCUGCGCGGCGCGGAGAUCACCUGCGCAGCGAGCUGCCUCACCGAUCUUGUGGGCGAGAUCAGCCUCUCCGACGAGCCAGCGUCCGAUGCUGGCAACGGCGACUCCGAGGAUCGCCUCGUCGGCCUCCUCGACCAACUCCACAUCGCUGACGAGCUUGCCGCCGAUGUGGAGUCGGUUGGCUCCACCGACCCGAUGCUGGUCGACUCAGACACCGCGUCGCUCGACGCGUUCCCCACCAACGUGGUGGUCUACGACAAACCGCUCCCCCACGAGCGCAGCGGCAGAAGCACCAUGACUGAGGUGCUCGUCGUUGGCGAGCACUCUUGUGGCGGCAGCCAGGACCCGCUGCAUGCGGCUCUGCACGACCUGACCGUGCCGAUCCCGGAAGACGCCGACGCCGAGACCCUGGAGGCACGCCGCCUCCAACUCCUCGAAAGCGCCAACCGGCUGGCCGGCAUGAGACGCCUCACGGAGGCUUACCAGCAAGAGAUGGACCGGGCGGUCGGCGGCACGCCGACUCCCGGCGGGCCCAGCCGCGCGGGCCAAGUCCGACAGCAUGGCGCGAUCGUCGCCAGCAUGUUCGGGGUAGAUCGCCCCGUCUACGCCACGGCUGUGGAGAACCUGCGGGCCGCUCAAGCGGCAGCAGACGAGCUGGACCGGCUCGAGGGCGACGAGCGUCGCCACAUGACGGAGCGCGUCCAGCAGCUCCUAGACGCGGUCGCCGUGCAGCAGGAGGCCGGCUGCCGUGAAGACGCACCCCGCCGGCGGAACGACGACCCGCCUCCCCGCCGAGACCAAGGCGCGACCUCCCGGACGCCGACUGGCGGAGUCCAUGGUAGGUGAGACGAGCAGCCGGACCCAUAUCACCAUCGAGCGCGACCCAGACGGUCGCCCAAGAGCCGUCAGACGAUACGGGACGACUGCCCGCCUCCUCCGCCCCACAGGGAGAGGCGCGUCUCCCCGCCGCCUGUCGAUCACCCAUCGCUCGGCGACCGACUCGGCCGCCGAGAGGGGAUUGGAGAAAGCGACGCCCGCCACCGGAUCGACCGCCUCAACCGAUCCCAGGCGUUAGAAGAAGAAGACGAGCUGGGGCCGCCCUGUUUUGGCCCCCGCAUCAGAGACGAGCCCUUCCCCCAAGGGUUCACGCUCCCAGAGACAGCCCCAAGUACACCGGCUCCAUGAAGCCGGAGGACUGGUUGGUCGACUACUCGACGACCGUCAACAUCACCAACGGCAACAAGCAUGUUGCCGUGAAAUAUGUCCCGCUCAUGCUCCAGGGCACGGCCCGGACAUGGCUGAACAGUCUAAGACCCCGCAGCAUCAACAGCUGGGUAGACUUCACCGACGCCUUCGUCCGCAACUUCACCAGCACAUACAAGCGGCCGCCCAAGCCACGCCAGCUAUCCCUGUGCGUCCAAGGCCCCAACGAGUCGACUCGCGACUACCUCACGCGCUGGGCCGAGUUGCGCAACUCCUGCGAGGGCGUGCACGAGGUCCAGGCCAUCGAAUACUUCACCGCCGGGUGCCGAGAGGGCACCCUCCUCAAGCACCGACUCCUCUGCAACGAGCCGACUUCCCUUGACGAGCUGCUGGUUAUAGCAGACAAGUAUGCCACCGCCGAUUCCUCCAUGAAGGCCGAGAUCCGAGUCGACGCGUCCGGCAAGAUGGCACCUCCGGCUCCAUGAACCCCGGCUGGCGACUCCAGUCGGCGCCAGCAGGCCAACGACAACAAGCGCAAGGCCACACAACCCGCUUUCACAAGCCGGCAGGUGGCAGCAGUCGAAGACGAACAGCCGGAGGGGCGGCCCCAGCCAAAGCGUCAGAAGGGCGGCAAGCCAAACUGGCUGCCCGCCUUCUCCUACGAGCAAACCCUCGACGCCCCCUGCAAGUUCCACAGCGGCGCGAAGCCGUCCAACCACACGACCCGAUAGUGUCACUGGCUGACCAGAAUCGCCAAGGGAGACGGCCUCCAGGCCCCUCCACCAGCCGGCCCGCCACCACCGCCGCCUCCUCAGAAGCCGGCGGAUCGGCCAGUCGGCGCGAUACAAGACGAGUACCCUGAGGAGCAGGGAGCCUACGUCGUGUUCACCAGUGUGACCGACGAUCGGCGCAGCAGACAGCAACAACACAGAGAAGUCGGCAGGCGGCCCGGGGACUGCAGCAGUCGCACUCGGCCCGGGGACUGCAGCAGUCAGCCCGGGGACUCCUUCAGCUCAGCAAACAGCAGCCAAGUCCAACCCGCCACCUCCCAGCCCAACCACCCUCGUACAAGUAGCAGUUUUGACUAUUGAAGAGGUCGCAGCACCAUCAUGGGCACAGCCCAUCCUCAGCUUUCUGAUCUCCAAGGAGCUGCCGACCGACAAGACCUUGGCUCGGCAGAUUCAACGCCGAGCAGCAGCAUACACCAUAGUCAACAGAGAGCUCGUGAGGCGCAGCGUCACUGGCGUGUACCAACGCUGCGUCGAGUCGGAGAAAGGCCAGGCAAUCCUCAAGGAUAUUCAUCAGGGCGAGUGUGGCCACCAUGCGGCCUCGAGAGCACUCGUAGCCAAAGCCUUCCGCCACGGUUUCUUCUGGCCGACUGCCCUUGAAGACGCCAAGGAGCUAGUUCAGAAAUGCAAGGGAUGUCAGAUGUUUCAUUCCAAGCCUCACCAGCCGGCCUCUGCGCUCAAGACCAUCCCAAUCGCCUGGCCCUUUGCCGUCUGGGGCUUGGAUAUGGUAGGCCCAUUCAAGACAGCACGCGGGGGGUUGGCCCAUCUGCUAGUCGCAGUGGACAAGUUCACCAAAUGGAUAGAAGCGAAGCCAAUCAAGAAGUUGAAUGGGCCGACUGCCGUGACCUUCAUCUCCGACCUCACAAUUCGGUACGGCAUACCGCACAGCAUCAUCAUCGACAACGGCACAAACUUUGCCAAGGGCGCCUUGGCCCGUUUGUGCGCGACGCAGGGCAUCCGACUGGACUUAGCGUCCGUUGCCCAUCCGCAGUCAAACGGCCAAGUCGAGCGAGCUAACGGCCUCGUCCUGUCCGGCAUCAAGCCCCGACUGGUCGAGCCGCUGGAGCGAUCGGCCUGCUGUUGGCUCGACGAGCUGCCAGCCGUCCUCUGGAGUCUGCGCACAACCCCAAACAAGUCUACUGGUUUCACUCCUUUCUUCCUCAUCUACGGUGCUGAAGCCAUCAUCCCGACGGAUAUCGAGUACGACUCCCCAAGAGUCACCAUGUACACCAAAGAGGAGGCAAGAGAAGCACGAGAAGACGGCGUCGAUCUGCUGGAAGAGGGCCGACUGUUAGCACUCAGCCGGUCCGCCAUCUACCAGCAGAUCCUACACCGCUACUACAACCGGAAGGUCAAGCCAAGAUCCUUCCAAGAGGGCGACCUUGUGCUCCGGCUGAUCCAGAGAACAGCCGGUCAACACAAGCUCACGACACCUUGGGAAGGACCCUUCAUCAUCAGCAGAGUGCUGGGUAACUACUCCUACUACCUCAUCGACGCUCAGAAGCCUCGAGCACGCAAGAGAGACGACUCCGGCAAAGAGACGGAGCGACCUUGGAACGCGAACCUCCUAGGAAGAUUUUACAGCUGAAUGCAGUAUGUACCAUGAAACCUUUUGUAACUAACGUACUAAGACUCCGGGACCCCCGAGGAGAUCUCGGGGACUGCCCCUUUUUCCGUCUGUAUGAUAAGUAUUGCGCCUAUCUUUCGAUAUCGUCUAUGCAUCUGUCCGGCACCGGGUCCGUCUGAUCGGCCCGGGGACUCGCCUCCUUGCGCUAUGCGGGUGCCCCCUGAAGCCGGACAAGUAAUGUGUGGUGCCUAAGCUCGCUCCUACCAAAGCCACAGUUCGCAGAGCGACUGUUUGGUGGGUGGGAGCCCAAAGCAAGAAAGGGUGCCCGCAUGAAAAAUGGCUAAGGACCCAGGGCAUCCGUGUAGCUCAAGCCGGCUUCCUGCCUUGCCGGCCGACUGCUUAGCAAGCCGGCCGGCCGGCCUCUACCCAACCUGCUAAAACUCCAGACGGCUGAGUACUUGCCUCCCCAAGUGGCUAAAUACUUGACCUAGCCACAGCACGCAGAGCGGCUGGUUGGGCUGGCAAGAAGGCACUUGGGAAGGCGGCAAAGGGAAAAAGCCAAAAGGAGCAAACGCAGGGAAGGAUAGAACCCAACAAACUUAUAUACAUCAAAGGCAAUAGGCCAGAGUUCGACAAAUUUAAAAGAUACACCUCAGGGGUUGAAUUGUGCAGACUAAGCAAAAGUUCAUCGAGAUCAUGAGCAGAUAGAGCUAAUACAAGCCGACAAGGCCUAAGGCGCGGCGGACGGGUUCGGCGGGUCGGAGGCGUCAGCAGUGCCGGCGAGGCGAGCAGCCGGCUGGUCGAGUACGGCCUGAUCGACUCCGGUGGCAGCCGGCUCGUCUGAGCGCGGCUUGUUACUGGAGGCACAGUCGAGUUGAGGCUGGCCGUCUGCUCCUGCCGCCGGCACCUCUCCUUCGCCUUCCAUCCCCUCCUCGUCCUCAUCCUCACUGCUGAAGCCGAUCAUUUCCGCAGAGUCCUCGCCGUCUUCUGGGUUCAGCCCGAACCACUCCACCGGCACCACGGCACCGUUCUCAGUCCGCUCCGGGAUGAGAACGCUGGUGUCGGUGUACUCGGCGAUGGCGGCUGCGCGCUUGGCGAGGGCGUCCUGGGCCUCCGCAGUCGCCAGCUCCCCCUGGGCCUCCGCCCGAAGCGUCGCCAGCUGGUCCAGGCUUAGGCCAGGGUACCAUGCCUUGACGAACUCCAAGGCCCGGCGAGCUCCCACCCGGGCCGAGGAGCCCUUCCACCCCUCCAGCCGGCCGGCCGCCACCUCCAGCCAGUCGGCAGUCCGACUGGGCGUGCGUGGGACCGGCAGGUCUGGCCACAGAGCGGCGAUCGCUGUGGCUUCGGCACGUUGAAGACGGCGCAGCAUCUGGAAGCCCGGUUGGAUCCGCGCCCGGAUGCUAAGGAUCUGCUCGUUCAGAGUCCGGGGCAUGUCCGGGGCAAUGACGGCGCCUUCCGCCCUCCGCUUCUGACGGCUGGCUUCGAUGGCCAGGUUGGUGGCAUGGGAGUGGCCGGGAAGAAAUCUGUGCAAACGAGAUAAGAAGUAGGAAGUAAGAAGCAGGCCAGAUCGACAGCCAGCAGCCUGGGCAAGAAUAGGAAAGGAACUUACCGUCGACGACGUCUUCGAUCUCGUGGAAGCCGUAGGUCAGCUCCGACUCCCUGUCGGACCAGGCGGGGCGCUGCACCGCGAACUUGGCGAGGAGUCCGGCCUCUUUGUCCUCCGCCUCCUACUUGGCCUUCUUGGCGAGCGCCGUCUGCUCCGCCAGCUGCGCGGACAGCCGGUCGCGCUCCUCCACCAGCGUGCCGCACUCCGCCUCCUUGGUGCACAACGCGGUGCGAGCCUCCCCCAGCUGCCGUUGCAAGGCGGCGUUGGCCUCUGCAGAAGGAAGGGAAGAGGAAAAAAGCGUCAGUGUCCAAUACAGAAGAAGAACAAGUCGCCAGGGAAAUCCGGCCCGACAGCCCAGCAGUCGGCCCGCAUCUCGGGGACUACAGCCCGUGGACGCGCCAGCGCGCCCCCGCGAAGAAGGAAAAAAAAAAUCAAAAAAUGGACAAGAGCAAGGUAAUAGUCGCCGGGAGAUCCGGCCCGACUGCUCAGCAGUCGGCCCGAAUCUCGGGGACUACAGCCCGCGGGUGCGCCAGCACGCCCCCGCGAAGAAGAAAGGGAAACUUACCCCGGCUUUCCGCCAAGUCGGCAUUCCGCUGCGCCAGCUCCUGCACCUUGGAAUUGAAGGCGUGCGCACGGAGGUUAUGAUACUCCUACAUUGAAGGAAUCGGACUAGUUAGGCACUCGAAGCUGACAAGUUAGAGUUCCGCGCCGCCUGCUCAGCAGCCGGCCCGGAACUCGGGGACUACACCCAGUGGGAGCGCUGGCGCGCCCCCACAAAGAAAGACAAGUCAAAGUCAAGAAAAAAUACCCGGACGGCUGCGCGCGACUCCAGGAAGGCGGUGUUGCAGCGCUUGAGGGCCUCGGCCUCCACCUGGAGCUUGGCCUGGACGUCCAGGAUCGCCGUAUUAAGCGGGCCUGACCCGCCUCCUCGCGCCCAGCCGACUGGCGCGGCGCUGGACGCCUGCGCGUCCGGGAUCGAGGAGCUCGCCGUGCUGACUCCAGGCGGGCGAGGCGUCGAGGCCACCUUCGUUGUACGGCGGUGUGACGACGCUCAGACUUUGGGAGCCGGAGCCGCUACCGCGCGUCCGGCUGUUGGCGCCGGCGGGUCCGCCGGCUGUUUGUCCCGCGACUCCUUCACGGGCAUCGACGGAAGAAUGAUUAUGUCCGGCUGGGGAGCGUCGCUGCUCGCCUCUGUAGCCGGGUGCGGUUCGCCGGCUCCCCCGGUCGGCGCCACAAAGCUGGGUGGUGGCGGUGCGGAACUCAGGGGGACGACGAACAGCGGCGCCUGGCGGCGCGCCGCUUCCUCGGCCAGCGCCUACUCCGUUGCCUUGGCUACAGCCUCGGCCGCAGCCAAUUUCGCCUCAGCGGCCACCGCUGCCUUCUCCUCCGCCUCCUUCACCAUGCGAGCCGCCUCUUGCUCCGCGCGGGCCUCUCGCAUGUUCCGCUCCGUCGCCUCGCGGAGGUCGGCGGCCGGAUCAACUCGCCGGGUGGCCACCCGCACCUCUGCCGACUCCACGAUGGAGGCGGCAUCCACCCUCUCGAGGGUGAGUGGAGCGCUGAAGUAAGGGAAACAAGACAGAGAGAUCAGGAAAGAAUCAGCAAACAAAGAAGGAAUUAUAGCAAGAUCAAAACUUACGCAGAGACGAGCUGAGGCGUCUUCACCGCCUUGCGAAAGCGGGCUGCCCUCGCGGCCGCCUCCUCCCGCUUGGUCGCCACGGCCGCCCCGCCCCUGGGCUUCUUAGGCCGGCUCCUGUACAAGCCCAGCGCGGCCCAGCGUUUCUCGGAGCCGCCUUCGCCAGCUGGCACGGUGGACGAGCCUGGGCGGUGGGAGCCCGACGGGCGGUUCGGAGCCUGCUCCCACACGUCGUCGUCGGGCCAGUCCUCGAGGGUGGCUCCGAGCCCUGAGACGCCCCCCCCGCGUCAUUCUUCGGCGUCGGCCUCCAGGGCCGCUAGCCCCCCGUCGGGGUCGUUGAUGUCGCUCUCCGCCCGGUCGGGGUCGAACUCGCGUUCUGGCCCCCUGGUGCCGGCUGACGGCUGAAGAAGAGAACCCUAAGGCCGGCCGGUCAGAGGCGGAUGUGAUUAAGCCCAGCAGCAAAGGAAAGAAGAGAAAACAACUUACCAUGGGUGGAGGAUUGGCACGCGAGUAAGGCUCCUUGCCAAACUGCCACUAUGAUGUGAGCUCGCAGUUGGCCAUGAGGUUCACCGUGUCGGCCACCUCCCCAGGCGGCAUCUCUUUGGUGCUAAGCCGACUCGGAUCCCGGUGCCCGCUCAUCUGACAGAUCAGAUGAGGCCGGCGCUGGAGCGGGAGCACUCGGCGCGCCACGAAGGCAGUCAGCAGAUCCGGACCAGUCAGGCCUCCCGACUGCGUCAGGACUCGAAGCCGGGCGACGGCGGCGACUCCGGAGGCCGACAGAGUCUUGGCCCGAUAGGACCAGUUGGGUCCCCUCUCGACGGGCCCGGCUGCAUACUCCGGAAAGUUGACUUGGUCGCCGGUCGGAGAGAUGUCCUUCACGUAGAAAUAGGACUGCUGCCACAUCUUCACCGACUUGAUCAGCGAGAUGGCGGGGAAGGGGUUGUCGCCCGACGGCCUCCGCACGGCGACGAACGCGCCGCACUUGGCCGGAACGCCCGCCGAGUGGGUGCUGGCCUUGCUGUAGAAGAACUCUCCUUACAACUCGAGGGUGGGGAGGACGCCGAGGUAGCCUUCGCACAGCGUGACGAAGGCGGACAGCAGCACCAUGGUGUUAGGGGUAAGGUGGUGUGGCUGCAGCUGGUAAAACUCCAAGAAGGAGCGGAAGAAAUGGCUCGCCGGCAGGCCCAGGCUGCGGAGGCAGUGCGAGCGGAAGACGACCCGCUCGCCCUCCUCCGGCGCCGGCGAGAUCUCCCCCGCCCGCGCGAGACGAACCCUCACAAGGUCCUUGGUCGGCAGCCGCCGCGUGUCGCGGAGGAAGUCGAUGUGGUCGUUGUGGAUGACCGAGCCAUCCCAUUCCCCGGAGCGCACCUGAGGAGCGGAUGAAGAGCUCAUCGGGGAAGGCUGCGGCGGCGCUGGGAUUGGUUCGGGUGCGCGGCGGCGAGAGGAAGAAGAAGGGUGCGAAAGCAAGAGCAAAGAAGGGCGGAGGGGCAGAAGGACACGCGCGUGCCUCGUCGCUCCCCCUCCUCCCCCUACUUAUAGCCUGCGGGAUACAAGGCCGAGGGGGCGAUCGUGGGGAUCGUGGGAUUAACUGUGCCCACGACCCCCGCUUUUCUCGCGCGAGUUACUAUGAGCAGUAACUCCGCGAGGGAGCCCAAUCGCCCGCUCGGCCGCAGCGGAUCCGCCCGCGUGCCGAGGCCCGAUAGUGGUGGGCCCGGCCCGCUGUCAUGUCCCAUCACACGCGUGGGCUGGCAGGCUGGCCUGGCGGGGCGACGACAUGUGGCGGACUCGUGCCAGACGGCGGGCUAGGAAGCUUAGCCCGAGCGCCACCUGAUUCCCGCCACGACAUUCGAACUCCCCUGGCCUACCCAGCUGGUCCGGGCCGACUCCUACCUGGCGGCCUGCUAGAAGACGGACGGAGUUUUUAUUUAGAGCACCCGGAGGAAACUGUUGAGGCUCCUUGGCUCUUUCACCACGGCGCCUCACCAGCUUCGGGGACUACUGUCGGAGUAUUGGGUCACGGGUAGCCUAACCCGUGCCCCAAGACCUUCCAAAAGAUCGGGGCAGGCUGCGCCCCUCGAGACGCCAGGACGAAGCGCCGCCUGGCCGACUGGCCGACUGCUGGAAGCCGGCUCGCCACGGGAGCCGGCGCCCCGUUCGGUCCGACUCCCUGCCGGCGACUCCUCAGGAGGCCGGCUCCCACGCAGCCGGCUCACGGCGCCCGGCGGACCGGCGCCUCCAUUAAGAUGACAAGACGGGGAGAGGCUGCAGAGCUGCCCAUCCCCCCCCGAAUCCAAGACCAGGCGUGGCCACAGUGCACCGCGGAGAUCUCCGACGGUGCUGCGCUGUUACCACUCCGCCCCUGACGUCAUGGCCCCUGUUCCCAUGACGGCCUAUCAGCACGGCCCGCAGGCGGCGGGUCCUGCUGGCCAGCGACAACCCAGAAGACGGCUGGGGCUGGACCAGUCGGACCCAAGGGGAGUCGGCCUCCGGAGGUCGGCUGGCCUUCCCCUAGGGCUCCGUGCGCCAUUGACCAGAGGAGACGCGACGUGGCUACAGUGAUCUCCCACUAGCCGGCGGGACUGUAGCCACGCUCCCACGACCAAGCUCACAUCAUCAACAUCAUGACAACAGUAACCAGGAGCCGGCAGGACCCGUGAUUUGCGGGUACGGCCUGUCGGCCCUGUGCCCUACCAGGCGGCGGGCCCCAGUAGUCGGCAGAGAAGCCGGCGCCCAGAGACACGGACAGACGGGACCCACGCCCGGACAGAUUACCGUUGUACCCCCGGGGGGUAGGCCUAUAUAAGCCCCCCGAGGCACCCAUGCAAAGGGUUCGAACCCAUCACGAUUAGCCACACACGUAGAGAAGGGAGGAGAGCUAGCCUUGCCUUCUCCUACCUCUAGCCAACAGCUCCAGGAGCACCUUUGUAGCCACUACGCCUUAGUGAUUAUGCGGAGACCCGGCAGAGCAGGACUAGGGGUGUUAUCUCCUAGGAGAGCCCCGAACCUGGGUAAAGUCUGACGGCAUUCUUGCUUGCGCCUUAUCCCGCUUCCAGGCACCGGCGACGUUCUACUCGCUCCCACCAUGAUAAGCCACCCGUUAGCAUAUGUCGCACCCAACCCCCGACAAUUCCUCAAUGGUAAGCUUGAGGAAGAAGUAUAUGUUGCUCAACCCCCAGGUUUUGAAGAUCCAAAGCAUCCUGACAAAGUCUUCAGACUCAAUAAGGCCCUCUAUGGCCUCAAGCAAGCCCCUCGGGCGUGGUAUGAUACUUUGAAGGAAUUCCUCACGAAGAAUGGCUUCACACCCAGUUCACUCGAUCCUACUCUGUUUACUAAAUCUUAUGAUGGUGAACUGUUUGUGUGCCAAAUAUAUGUUGAUGAUAUUAUCUUUGGCUGUACUGACCAACGUUAUAGUGAUGAGUUUGCCUAUAUGAUGAGUGAAGAAUAUCAAAUGUCUAUGAUGGGAGAGUUGAAAUUCUUCUUAGGUCUUCAAAUUCGUCAACAGCGCAAUGGCAUAUUCAUAUCUUAGGAGAAAUACCUCAAGGAUGUUCUGAAGAAAUUCGACAUGCAAGAUUGCAAAGGCGUCAAAAUUCCUAUGCCCACAAAUGGCCAUCUAUGCACUGAUGAAAAUGGUAUUGACUUCGAUCAUAAGUAUACCGCUCCAUUAUUGGUUCUUUAUUGUACUUGUGUGCAUCUAGGCCAGAUAUAAUGCUUAGUGUUUGCAUGUGUGCCCGAUUUCAAGCUGCACCGAAGGAAUCACACCAUAAGGCUGUGAAGCGUAUUCUUCGAUAUCUAGCUCACACACCAACACUAGGAUUAUGGUACCCCAAGGGCUCAACUUUUGAUCUCAUUGGAUAUUCUGACUCUGACUAUGCUGGUGAUCGUGUGGACCGCAAGUCAACAUCUGGUGCAUGUCAUUUCCUCGGACGAUCCUUGGUCUGUUGGUCCUCGAACAAACAGAACUGCGUAUCAAUGUCUACUGCUGAAGCUGAGUACAUUGCUGCUGGUUCUUGCUGUGCUCAACUGCUGUGGAUGAAGCAAACUCUCAAGGACUAUGGCGUCAACGUGAAGAAUGUGCCACUCUUCUGUGACAAUGAGAGUGCCAUAAAGAUUGCUCACAACCCAGUUCAGCACUCGAAGACAAAGCACAUUCAAAUUCGUCAUCAUUUUCUUCGUGAUCAUGUGUUGAAGGGCGAUAUUUCUAUUGAGCAUGUGAAGACUGAAGAACAACUAGCCGAUAUCUUCACAAAGCCCUUGGAUGAGAAGAGAUUUAGCAAGUUGCGGUGUGUGCUAAAUAUCUUAGAAUCUUCGAAUGUACUUUGAAAAGGACACUCAUCCUAACACUUAUGCAAAAUUGAUGACUUAGAUGUGCAACACAUGAAGAAACGUUUUUCUUCAAUCAAUGAAGAAUAACACUCUAAGUGUGAAGAAAUUAACGAAGAAUUUGAUUCUCAGAGCCCUACGACAAUUGUACGCGAUGUCUGAAAUCAUCAUUCUUAUACGGUGGGUCACGCCAGCACCAAAAGUUGAAAAUCUUCAAUUUGAGUUUUUCCUCAAUUUUGAAAUUCCUCAGUUGUUCAAAUUCUUCAACUUUGCAAAAUCUUCACUUUUUCCAUUGUUUUUCCUCAUUGACUAUAUAUAUAUAUAUGAGUUUAUGUCCUAUACAACAUUCACUUAUUGUUAUUUCUUCAAGUUACUCUUUCUGCUAAGUGAAUGUGAUCGGACCCUUCCCCUAUAUGCUAUACUCAACCCAGUCUAUUCACAAAUUCUUCAUGUGCAUUCUAUUUGAAACAAGUUCAAAGUCUUCACUGUGUUUUUGACAGCUGAAGAAAUUGUGAACGGAACGUUAAAACUUAUCUUAUCCAAAAUUUUCGGAUUUGCCGCUCAAACCGUUCCGCUUCCCACGAUAGACUUAUCUAUUCACCCACGAUCUAACAUGAUCUCCACUUUUCAGUACGUGGGUGACACAUGUCGAGCGAAUGAGAAGGGUCAGGGGCACGUUCGUCCAAAAUCUUCGGGCGAGCUGUUUUUCACCGUGACUAUAAAUACCCCCUUCCCCUUCCUCACCUCUUUUACUCCGCUCGUUCACUCCCCAGCUCCAGCUUCUCAAACCCUAGCACUGCCGCUACUUCAUCGUCGCCGGUGAGGAAGAGCUUCACUGCCUCAACCUCGUCGCCGUCGUACUCGCGCCGGCCGCGGAAAUCUUCACUCCGCCGCCGCCGUAGCCGUCUUCCUUUGCCAAGUUAGGGUGUGGAAGAUCUGAACUGAUGAACUUCUCUUCCCCACUUCACAGUUCGUCGUGUUCUUCGUUCAGGGUAAUUAAAAGUUACUUUUACUGCCCUCUUUGAUUCAAAUGUUUUCUACAAAAUCUUGAAAGGUGUUUUUCUUCAAACUCUCACACACUAAACACCUCACAAGUCAUCUGUUCUUGAUUCAUUUCUCUAAGUUGCAUUUUUCUUCAAGAUUCCUCAAUUGUGUGGAUUUCUGAUCUAUACAACUCUGGAACCUAAGACAAAGAACACUUACUGAAAUUCUUGAAGACUCGUCUGGUCAAAUUCCUCAAACUAGUUCUUUUUGAAAAUCCUUCUGAGAACGCAUAUGACCUCUCCAAAUUCCUCGCAACUAUACUCUGUUCACAGGUACUCAUGUCCGCUGCUGAAUCACUAGGUUCUCAUCAACUUAACUCAUUUGCAGCGUUCCUUGAAGAAAAGUUGCAUACCUCUUCAAAAAGUUCAAUUGUUCAAAUUCCCCAGCUGAAGAAAAUGGCUGACGGGAAGAGGCCGCAGAAAGGAGGAAAAAGGCCCGAAGUUGACACUGCUUUUGAGAUCCCUGAUGACUUAUAUCAGGAUUACUGUAUGCCUGAUGAGGCCAAGUACGGAAAGGAGGACAAGAAUGCGCGCAAGGUGCAUAUACAGAGGAUUGAAAGGAGAUGGGCAAAGGAAUGGAGGGAGUACAGAUAUGUAACUCCAAAGUAUAUGAAGAAAUUCGCACUUAAACCUCCAUGCCCAAGACCUGCAUUGGCACCUGGCCAAAUAGCUGAUCCCACCAGCAUCAAGUGUGGUGAGGACUUUCCUGAUGAAUGGGCCAAGCGCCAGGCCAAGCUGGCUAGGUAGGCCAAAGAAGCAGUGAGGAAAUUCAAUGAAGACUCUGUUGCUGCUGCUGCUGAGGUUUCUGUCAAGCCGAAGAAAUCGAUGGCAAAGAAGCCUGCGCACAAGCCAAGUGCUUCUUCCUCAAUGUCUUCAAGGCCAAGCUCCUCAGCUGUGCCCUCACGGCCAGAUUCUUCAAAGCCCUCACGGCUAGUUCCUCAUGCUGCUCCUGCACCUCCAAAGUCCUCAUCUGCUCCGUCCAAGUCCUCAGCACCUGUGCAUCUUGCCACGUGCCAACGGACCACAGGCAUCUCCAUUGCCUCAGGUGUCUCAUCUAGUUCCUCAGCUGCACCAAGUUCUUCAACUGGACCCUCUCUGCUGAAGACUAAAGUCAUUGCUGGACGAGGUACUCGCCCAAGUCCUCAAAAGAAGCAAGUCGCAUUCCAAGUGCCGUCUGAUGAAGACGAAGCUGAUGAUGAAGAACUUGCUGAAAUCAUCAGAAAUAGACAAGAAAGGGCCGCUAAAGCCAAAGGCACAAAUGUGCCACUGCUUUUGGAUUCAAGACUGAUCUUGGAUUAUAUUGAUGUAUGGCACAAGGACCCAAGCAUUCCAAUGCCCGAUUUCACAUUGACUCCUGGCCAAGAUCACGUACUGACCCAUUUCAUCCAAGAGGAAAAAUGGAAGUAUGAGAAGGCCAGGCGAAUCAAGAAGGCACAGUACAAGAAAGAAAAGUUUCUGAAGAACAACAUUGUUUCUAUGACUGCUGAUGAUCUUGUGAACAUCUAGUCUGAAAUCAAAGGCCUCAGCGAUGAUUUCAAUGCUUACUAUGCUGAUUGGCAAGGAGCCAAAGUCAGGUUUGUAAAACUGACUGAAAAGCUCACCUCCAAUGUUGCAGCUCCAUCGCAACAGGAAAUUCCUCAGGCUGAGGCAUCUGCCCAGCCAACUGAAGAACAUGCCAACACCGCUGAUGACUUUCAGGCUGCUGAAGAAAAUGUAAGUUCCAGGGCUGAUGACUGCAUUCCAGCCGCUGAUGAAAUUGCCAGGGCAUCCACUAGUGGUGCGCCUGAAGAAAAUGAAGAAGUCAGGGAAGCUGCUUCAGCUGCACCUGAAGAAAACGAACCAAAUUCUUCUGCUCCGUCUGCACCUACCCCAACUCCAAUCCUUCCAUCUGCAUCAGAUGUGAAGAAAACAAAGGCUGCAGAGCGUGCUGCGUUGAAGAAAAGGAAAGCAUCAGCUCCUUCAGAUUCUUCAGCUCCGAAGAAAAUGAAGCCAAUGACAAGCUCAUUUGAAAAUCCCAUUGAUGCUGUUCCCAUCUCAACCAGGCCAUCAAAGGAAAUCGUUCCUUUUGAUGAAGAAUAUGUGAUCCCUAGCGGAUCUGAUGAAAAAAAUCCCCCUGCUGCUUCAACUAAGUAGAUGGAUGAAGAAAUUUAAGUGGAAGAAGUCCCUUCAAAUCAAGCUGCUUCCUCGCCAAUGCCUCAGUUCACUGCUGAAGAGGCCGGCGUUGAAGAAUUGGAAGAUGAAGAUGUGGACAUUGGAUGUACCACACCAGUGAUGAAUGAUGACUUUUGGGAAAGUCAGCACCCCAAUUCUCCACUCUUCACUCCCUUACAACAAAUUCCUCAGUCCCCUGCACAGACUGUUCAAAUGGGUUCUGAAGAAAUUCAUGGCACUGCAUCUGUACAUGAAGAAAUUCCAGCCACUAGCGCUGAAGAAACUGCUGCUGCUGUUGAUCAUCUAAAGACACAGACUGCCACUGAAGAGGAACUAGAAAUUCCUCAGCCUGAAGAACCUGAGAUUGCGAUUCCUGAGGUUGUGCUGCAACUCACUGACACUCCUAUGCCCAAGCCAAAGGAUCCAUUCUCAAGGAAGCAAAAAUUCAAGGCUGAUGAUUUCUUCGGCGAGCGGGUGUUCUUCACUGAAUACAACCCAGAUGACUCUGCUCGCAUAAGGAAGAGGCGUUUCUGGACUGCAAGCCAAGCCAAUUUCUAUUCCUCAGUGCUUUACAACAAGGACAAAGUCUUCGAUCAUCAGCAUAUUCCUCAUAUAGAUAUGGAAUCUCUGUCGUGCUUCACACCAGUACUCAGUGUUCUUCACGAUGCUGGACUUUUGAAUUUCAGCACUGACAUAUGUGAUUGGAAUGAAGAACUUAUUCUUCAAUUCUAUGCAACAUUACACAUCACUGGAAAUUCUGAGGAUGUGACUUCUUGGGUGCUGGAUUGGAUGACUAAGAACUCUCACUUCAAGGCACCAGCUAUUGAAUUGCUUCGUGCCUUACCAAUUAGUCCUCCCCUUGAAGCUGCACGUUGUGUCUAUAAUGAGCCUGAGCUGUCUGAUCACUACAUGCAAGUGCUGAUGAAGCCUUUGAAGCCAGGUCAAGCCCCAAGAACAAAGUUUCUGGUGAAGGAAUUGCUGUAUGUGCCUCAGACUGCCUAUCGCAUCCUGUCGAAGACUAUGAGUACAAUCAAGGGCCACGACUCAAAUGAAGAAGAAGUCAUUGGCAUCAUGAAGAAUCUGCUUUUCUAUAUCAUACAUGGCGUUCCCGUCAACUUCCAUGAUUUCUUCAUGAGGACUCUGGCCAAUAUUGCCAUGUCACCUUUUGAGCUGAAGCCUUAUGCACCGUGGAUUAUGAGAUUCAUCAGAACAAGGUCUUCACUCAACUACAAGGCUGAUACACUGAACCAUGGCAGCUACUUGCCCCCGCUUGAAGUCCUCAAACGGACAUUUUCCUCAGCUGAAGACAAGGGCAAGGCCGUUGCAAUAAUCGAUGAAGGCAUUCGUCCAUUGGAUGGGCAAUUUCGCAAGGCUGCAUCCUAUUCUACCAAUGACGACUCUGCCACACAUGACUCUGCCGUAAACACCAACAAGCAAAAUCCUCAUGGCACAGCACCCAGGGUGAUGACUGAUCGUGAGCUACUCCUCAGUCUUCAUCAGAAGGUUGAUCGCAAUCAGAAAUAGGUCAAGUGUCAGUUUGGUGCAAUUCUUCAAAACCUGACUGCUACCCAUAAUACAGUGAACAAAAACCACUACUACCUUCAUGAAACCCUCAACCGCACCUGGGCUGUUCUGUCUCAUGUCUACAGCGAAGAAGAACUGAAGAAAAUGGGUCUCAAGGAGGAAUUUGACUGGUCUGCACCUCCACCGAAGAAAUUCAAGAAGGUCAAAUGUCCUUCCUUGGUGGCCAGCUCCUAUUCUUCAUCGCGCGACACCGACAAGCAUGAAGAUUUGGAUGACACUGCGGCGGGCCCUACUACAACGACAAACGACCCCAACAACGCUGGCGCUCCUUCAUCAACAUGAAAUUCUUCAGGGGCAUUAGUCCUCAGUUUCGAUCCUUUUUGUCAUUUGAUGAUAAAGGGGGAGAAAUUUGAGAGUUAGUCUUCAAACGGGUCGAUCUUAUAUGGGCGUAUGAACGUUUUUUUGAUAAGUUACAACUCUCGUUCUUCUGAAGACUUUUAUUGAUCGAGUUGUAAACUUAAACCCUAUGGUGACUUGAUACUUUGCGAUGUUUUCUUCUGCAUGCUUAUUCCUCAUCAAUAUUAAUGCAUGCAUGCUGAAUUACAUCAGUCACCAUAUUUCAUCAUCAUGCAUUUCAAAUUCUUCAUAUAUUAUGUCAAAUGCGUGUAUGAAUUAAAAGAUAUAGGGGGAGAUCUCCAUGAUUCAACUCUUCAAGUGUGCAUUGCUUCAAAAGCAAAUUCCUCACUAUGCACAUCUUCAGGGGGAGUUCUUCUAUAUCUUGCAAUCAAAUUCCUCAACUUCAGUAUUUACACUUCAUAUGUUUAUCCCUGUUGAAAACUUAACCUAUAUUGUCAUCAAUCACCAAAAAGGGGGAGAUUGUAAGUGCAUCUAGUGCCCCUUAGUGAUUUUGGUGUAUUGAAGACUUAUAGGUUAAGGGACUAAUGCGUUUGUGAGUGUACACAGAUCUAUAAGUCUAUGAGGAAUGAGAUAUUUACAGGAAAUGUCGGCCCCUAAAAAUGAAUAUCUUCGACUGAAGAUUUUGGUAUUCCUGAAGACUUUGAAAGUGAAGAAAUUGGUGUGACCGUGAAGACUUGAUAUUCAUGUGAGGAUUAUGAAGCUUGAAGACUUUUGUUUUCAUAGUUUUCUUUUUCUUUUUCUUGAGUCAUAGGAAACACCGUACUGUUAAAGGGGGUCGAGGAAAUACUAAGGAAAAUUUCCAAGUGAUGCUCAACUCAAAAUUCUACACCUACCAAUCCCUUCGAGUGAAGCCAUUGGAAAUCUCAUAUAGUUCAGUCAUAUUCUUCAGUGACAGAGACGAAGUUCUUCUGGUCUCUGAGGAAUUUGUUCUGACUGAGGAGUUAGGAAUUCGCCAGUGCGGAUUGCCUACACAGUGAGGAACAUGACAGCCCUGAGGAAUUUGAUAGUCAAAUUUCCGACUGUUGCUGUGCUAUGCGCCAGCUAUCCCAACAUAUCUUAUCCACCUAAAGGUCAUAUCAUUGAUGGGCAUUUAUGUCUUAUCAUGUCGGGCUGCUCCCUAGGCUAUAAAUAGCCGCCCCCCUACAACCACUAGCUGGUUGGCUGCUCCGGAAGAAACUGACACUUGUCAAUUGAGAGCAACCCAUCCUCUUGAGAAAUUUGAGAGAAAAUCAUCAAGUGAGGAAAAACCCAAACCCAAACACCUACAAACCCAAAGUGAUUGAGCAUCACUUAAGAGAUUGAUCCUGCGUGGAUCCGACACUUUUUACCUUUGAAGACUGUGCUUCUUCCAGACGGUUAGGCGUCAUGGUCUGAGCAUCCAAGAGGAAUUGUGGAUCGCCGUGUGACCAAGUUUGUGAAGGUUUGGAAGUCACCUAAAAACUUACCACGAGUGAUUGGGCGAGGUCUGUGUGACCUUAGCUCAAGGGGUAUAUGGUGAGGACUGAGUGUCUUGGACUGUGUGUCCUUGACUGGGUGUCCGGGACUGUGUGUCCUCAGGUUUCAAUACCCAGCCGCCCUAACCAGACGUACAACUGAGACAACAGUUGGAACUGGUCUACCAAAUCAUUGUCUUCACCAAGCCACUGGUUCUAUUUACUCAACUCUUUCAUUUCCUCAUCUCUGUUCUGUGUAUGUGUCAUAUCUGUGUUUGAAGACUUUGACUGAAGACUUUCUCAAUUUCCUCAGUUCAAUUUCUUCAGUCUGUUUGUCUUCAUCUUGUGUAUCCUGUGUUUACGCAUUCCGUACUCCGUGUUUUACUUUCAUUUCAUCAUGAUGAACAUGCUUAUGCUCCGUUAUGAUUGCUUCUGAGUACUUAUUCCGCUGCAAGUAGUUCUUUAGUUAGGAAUUUCCUCACCCGCAAAUUCCUCAGUGAAGAAUUCAUAAAAAUCGCCUAUUCACCCCCCCUCUAGUCGAUAUAACGCACUUUCAUAGGGGCGUUAAACGAUAGCGCUUGUUGGGAGGCAACCCAAUUUUAUUUUAGUUUCUUGCUUUUUGGUUCUGUUUAGUAAUAAAUAAUCCAUCUAGCUUCUGUUUAGAUGUGGUUUUAUGUUUUAAUUAGUGUUUGUGCCAAGUAGAACCUUUGGGAAGACUUGGGUGAAGUCUUUAUGAUCAUGCUGUAAAAAACAGAAACUUUAGCACUCACGAGAUUAGCUUCAACUUUUUACUGGAGAGUUCUAUUUAGUUGAUUCUUUUUGCAUAUGAUUACUAGACAAAUUCCUCAGGUCCAAAAAUUUAUUUUAGAAUUUUUGGAGCUCCAGAAGUAUACGUUUGAUACAGAUUACUACAGACUGUUCUGUUUUUGACAGAUUCUGUUUUCUAUGUGUUGUUUGCUUAUUUUGAUGAAUCUAUGAGUAGUAUCGGAGGGUAUAAACCAUAGACAAGUUGGAAUACAGUAGAUAAUACACCAAUAUGAAUUUAGAAUGAGUUCACAACAGUACCUAAGUGGUGAUUUAUUUUCUUAUACUAACGGAGCUUACGAGUUUUCUGUUAAGUUUUGUGUUGUGAAGUUUUCAAGUUUUGGGUAAAGAUUCGAUGGACUAUGGAAUAAGAAGUGGCAAGAGCCUAAGCUUGGGGAUGCCCAAGGCACCCCAAGGUAAUAUUCAAGGAUAACCAAAAGCCUAAGCUUGGGGAUGCCCCGGAAGGCAUCCCCUCUUUCGUCUUCGUUCAUCGGUUACUUUACUUGGAGCUAUAUUUUUAUUCACCACAUGAUAUGUGUUUUGCUUGGAGCGUCAAUUUAUUUUGUUAGUAUUUGCUUGCUGUUAUUUAUAAUAAUGUUUUGCAUCUUUAUUUUCAAUAAAAAUGUCAAGGAUAGCCUUUACCAUGCUUAUUUUGCAAGUAUACAUGUUGCUGUUUCAAAACAGAAAGUUUACCGCUGUUGCAAAAAUUCCCCAGAGAAGUCAGAAUGUGAUAAAAUGAUGAAACCUUUUGCAUAAUAAGAUCUGAUAAAUUUAAUACAGUAGUAAUUUUCUUUCAUAAUUUUUGGAGCUAGGGAAGUAUGGAUCUUGCUGCAUUCUUUACAGACUGUCCUGUUUAGGCAGAUUGCUGUUAUGUUUGCAUUGUUUGCAUAUGUUUGCUUCUUUAAUGAUUCUAUUUGAGGAUAGGACUAUUAAAUACGCAGAGGCAUUUAGUAUGCAAUGUUGAAUAACAAUUUUAGUGAUUUGUUACAGUAGAGUAUGAUAAGGUUUUUGCAUUGGUUUAUACUAACUUAUCUCACGAGUCCUUGUUGAGUUUUGUGUGGAUGAAGCUUUUGAGAUUUAGGGAGACCGUGAUAUGAGAGGAAUUAAGGAGACACAAAAGCUCAAGAUUGGGGAUGCCCAAGGCAUCCCAAGAUAAUAUUUCAAGAAGUCUCAAGCGUCUAAGCUUGGGGAUGCCCCGAUUGGCAUCCCACCUUUCUUCUUCGACGACUAUCGGUUAGUAUCGGUUGAUCCUAAGUUUUUGCUUCUUCACAUGAUGUGUGCUAUCCUUGAAAUGUCAUUUUAUUUUGUUUUGUUUUCUGCUUGAAUAAAAUACAUUAGAUCUGAAAUUCUUAAAUGAGAGAGAGUCUUCACAUAGCUACAUAAUUAUUUAACUACUCAUUGAUCUUCACUUAUAUCUUUUUGGAGUAGUUUGUCAUUUAGUCGUGUGCUUCACUUAUAUCCUAUGAGUAAAUGGUUGAAUGAUUUGAAUGUCAUAAAUCUUAAAUUAUAUAUGUUUCAUAUGCCUUUCCCAUGGGGAGUAAUGCCUUCACAUAUAAGAAGUAGAGGUGGUAAAUUUAUUGAAGGUUAGCAAACAUUGUAUUGGUCACUUGAACAAUUCAUGAAAGAAUAUUGAAGGAAGAGAGAUUUCAAAUAUAAUACUAUCUUGGACAUCUUCUAUGAUUUUGAGCCCCAUUAAUUAUUUUCAACAUGAGCAAAUUAGUUGAAGUAGGACAAGGAAGACAACAUAAUGAGUUAUGCUUGGGUAUAUUUGUAUAAAUUAUAUUGUCUUGGAUCCUCUAACAUGUGGUGCUUGCUAUUUAGAAUCCUUUGCUAGCCAAAAUAUCUGUACUAAGCGGGAAUACUGCUUGUGCAUCCAAAUUCCUUGAACCAAGUUUCUUCCAUGAGUGUCCACCAUAUCUACCUAUAUGCGGUAUUUACCUGCUGUUCCAAGUAAAUUUGCAUGUGCCAAACUCUAAACCUUAAAAUAAUAAUCUGUUUUGUAUGCCCGAAUUGCUCAUGUAGCGACUACGGGUUAGUAGUAUCUUCCAUGCUAGGUGGGUUAUUCUCACGAUGAGCGGACUCCGCUCAUCAUUCACGAGAAAAUGGCUGGUAACUGGGAUGC
rnacentral:lncRNA from 1 species